rnacentral:lncRNA from 1 species
UUCCCUACACCUGUGGUUAGAUUUAUUUUGGAAAAACAAAGAAAAAUAAAUUUCAGACCGAACAGGAUAUCGGCAGAUUAAAAUAUAAUUUCAACUUCCAGCAAUCAUCAUGUGUAUAACUUUACUUACCUUUGUUGUGGAAUCAUCGGAAUCCUCGGUGCAACAUUUCAUACAGUUGGAUACCAAUUCUGCAGUCAAAACUAGGACUUCAGUAAGCAUUUUUGCAUCUUUUUUGAUAAAGAAACGAUUAUAUUCAAAAAGGAAAGAAGCAAAAACAACAGAAAGAGUGGUCAAGCAAACCAGCCCAAACAGAAACUGGAAAGAGAAAGAGACAACUUCACAGAGCUGAAGAGCACCCAAACACAAAAUCACAAACUAAAAGGAAGCUGCCUUCCAAUCUACCCAAAUUAAGGAGAGGGUAAUUCCCCUGAACUCAUAAGAAAUAGAAACCCGGAGGGCUGACAAAAACCUCCGCAAAACCAGCUCCUGCAUAAUCUUCAAAAACCCUCCUAUUUAUCUCAUCCAAACCACCCAAAACUCAGCGAAAAUCAUCCAACCCAACAUUACCUUCACUUUAUCACCCUUCCAAACCGAAGGUGAGCUUCACUAAGCAGAGAGAGGCAGUCCUCCCUUGGAAUUACAAUAAUACCCAUCUCCCUAACCAGCUUCAACCACAAACCCAAUGUCAUCGGACAAUGAAGAGAGAUUGAUCAAUGGAUUUCAAAUCUAACUUAUAUAAGAUACACCAAUAAGGUGACAAGCAGUAAGGGGGGUGAGUUCUAUGAACCAUGUCACAAGUGUUAACUUUGACAUGGGCAAUUAUCCAACAUCUUUACUUUAGAUGGAGCUCUGGGUUUCCAUAUCGUCCAACAGGAAAGAGAGAGUUUCAUUGUCGUGAUUAGCAAUGAAACUAUAGUAAGAUUUGUAAGAAUACCGUCCAUUGGGUCUAAUUUCCUUGAAUCCAUCAUUAUAGGGUGGAAAAUGAUAUUUUCCAGCAAUCUCAAAAGGGAAGAAGAUUCUUCCACUUCCCUUUCGAUUUCUCCUGAAGCAAAAUUCCAGUUCAUUAAUCCACUGGAAAAAUCCUCAACACUAGAAAUGGCCAUAUUACGAUAAGCGAUAUAGUGUAGAGCUUGGAAACUGAGAUUUCAAAGAAGAAUUUCCCAACCACUCAUAUUACCAAAACUUGUUUCUAUCAACGUUUUUGCGCAACAAAAUGGCAUUUUGUAAUGAAAGAGUCGCAUGAGAUCUCUCCUUCCAAGGGCUCCGACUUCCAUUCAUGACACGUUGGAAUCCCAUCCAUUAGACAAAAUUCCAUACUUGCUUUUGAUCACAGAAUGGCACAGAAUCCUAAUUUAAGGAAAACAAGCUCCAUAUUUGCUUCAGUAUACUUAACUAUGCUGGAAGUAAGACAAACCACAUCUUACAGUUACAGUCAAAUAACUAUGCUGGAAGUAAGACAAAUCACAUCUUACAGUUACAGUCAAAAUGUUGAGCAAUCAUAUACCGUCCCCACAUUUUAGGGUUCUCCAAUUCCAAUCCCUGACGGUUAAAAGAUCCCUUACAUUCACCUUAUAUUUAGCCUACAGGUCUUCCAUCUUUUCGGCCAUGUGAUGAAGAAAACACUACUUCGAUUCUAUCAUAUCUCCAAAAAAUGCAAGUGAUAGUGAUGUCUUAUAAUGCAAACAGCAUUGGGAACGGCCACUGAUUACAUCAUCUACCCACUUAUUUCCAUGAUUAUAAGCUAUGCAGUUGUGUUUGCAUUAUUCGGUACGGAAUAUCGAUGGAAUUGAAGACUCAAACAUUUGUUGUUGCUCCUAAUAUCUAUGUCCUUAAUUGCUACAAAUGAUAACUGCCAAUGCCAAAGUCGCCAACCUAAAGAAAUGGAGAUUCCUCCUCUUCGGAUCUCAAAUUCCUUCCCAUAAAGUCAAUAACUGCCAAUGCUAAAACUCUCAUACUUUGUUCUAUGAUUGCACCAAUCAAUGUUAACUAACCUAAACACCUCCUAAACCCUCACUCUUGAAUUCAAACACUUCAAACCCCAUCAACAACAACAGCAAUUCGCACAACAAAAAAUACACCAAAAGGAAAUUGGGGGAAUUUGAAAGAUAGCUAUAGAAAUUAACACUGCAAAAAAAAUUAAAAAAAAAAAAGAGAAAAAGGAAGGAGAAUGGAUUGGAUGGGUAACCUUGAUCCUUAACAUACUCAGCCAAACUGUUACAAUCAGAGCACAAAGCGAGACCUGUGAAGCCAAGAUUCUCGCAUUCCCUUGUGCUCAGCUGCUCUUUCGAUGUUGAUGCACCGGAAGCUACUGCCACCGCGAGCACCACCAACAUAGCCGCCACCAACGCUCCCAUCUCUCUACCUUCGAGCUCACGAGUUUCAGUCUCUCCUCCCAAGACUCGAUGCAAAAACAAAACGCUGGUCUUGCUCUUGGUCUGGGCCUUCGAUUCGUUUCGGGCUUUAGGCACCAUAAACGAAAUUUAAUUUUUUUGGUUUUGUAUUUCUUUUAAUUUAAAAAAAAAUCAGAUUGAAGAAACCCAUGAAGAAAAACAUUUUUGACAUCCAGCUCACAUAACGGCUAAUUCCGAGAAAUAGUAAAUUAAGAGCAAUGCGAAUGGUAACAGUUUUAACCACAAUACUAAACGUUUCAUCCCAUUUCAUUCUGCUUCGUCCCAUCUAUGUACCAAACGCUUUCUAAAAUAACAAUGUAAUGCAACACUCAAGAGAAACCAACUUACGGUCUCUCACACCAUAACAUGGCAAGUACUCCUUUCUAGAGACCAUUUCAAAUGUAAGUCAUUCUUAGGCUUAAGUUGAAUCAAGUGGGUUAAAAGUUAUUAAGUAGGACCAAACAUCAACAGACCUAAAUUGAUAAGAUAAAUCCAUUGGAGUAAACCAAAUAAUUAGUUACACAAUUGGUCUUAUAUCUAAUUCUAAUUAUCUCUAUAUUUUAUGCAUUCGUGGAUGUUUUUAUCGUUUGUUCCAAAAAAAAGAAAAUUGAAUCAAGGGGGUUUGGGCCCAAUGGGCGUAAUGAAUUUCGAAACUCUUUUUUUAAGCUCACUUGUUAAUUUCAAGCUUCCCUGAGAUUAUGAAUAAUUAACUUAAAUUCAUUUAGUUAAUUAUUCCAUCUCCUUAUUAAUCAUAAUUAAUUAGUUCAACACACUUUAGUAAUCUUAGCUCCCGAAUAAGGUGUGUGAUCCAUUAGGUAUUAACCGACGAGGCAAUAAGAGCGAUUAAUCUCCAAUAAUCCGUCUAGCAAACUUAAAAUCCAUUUAGUUUUACCCUCAUUGUGAAACAGAUUAUCCAUUUCACAAGUCUUACUAACCAUGAGUAACACCGAACAAACUGUACGUUAUGGUGUCCAAGUCGAUAUGAAAUAAACGACAUAGAGAACCUAUAUAUUUUGGAAUCACAUUACAAGAUACUACAAUAUUUUCAAUUACAUUUACAGUCGAUGAUUGAUGUCAAACCCUUUUUGGUGCUGAACAUAACACCAAUGUAAACUAUUUUGCUCGUAUGAUCCAAUUUAAGGCAAUGAGUUUUUGCAUAUGCAAACAUAAGUGUGCACUGAUCUUUUCGGAAUUAUCCAUAUCAACUCGAUAGUUUCAACGCUCGGGAAUAGUUUUAGGAUAAACACAUGAGAUUGGUCUUAUUAACUUAACUUAUUAAGUUACUUGCUUCUUAUGUAUAAAUUAUCGUUGAAGUUAUCAAUAUACAAUCUCAUUGAAGUUAUUCAUGGACUCACCCAAAAGAUUUUAUUUGGUUUAGUUGAUGUAUGGUUAUCUUGCCCGUGAUUAGUUCAUGAACUAUUGUGGUAUUGUCCGAAAUAGUUUAUCAACCCAUUGAUUGCUUUUAGGGCAUACCUCUAACAACUACAUAUUUCCCUUAUAAAUAUGAAGAGAAGAAAGAUGAACUAAACUUACCCUUGAAGCUAUUAGAAAAACCCUUACAAAUUGCUCCACCAAUCUUCUUGUUCUUUAAGUCUUCUCUUUAAACUCUCCACCUUUGGUUCUCCUUUAGUUGUCAAAGUAGACAACCUUUAGCAUCUCCACACCACUUAAAUCUUGAGUGGUUGGAUGAAACAUAGAAGGGAGAAAUAGACUAAUGAGUAUCACUUAGUAGAUUUGUGAUUUAUGUUUGAGCAGUCCCACAAAUAAUGAGUGACAUUUAGCCAUAUGCAAUGACUAAUCAAGUCAAAGGAAGAUAUAUUCCAUAACUUUUUUAGUUGAAACUAAAAUGCAAUACAAUACUUCGCCUAUUUAUGAAUACUAAUUACAUUAUUAUGGUCGUAUUGUUUAUCAAACCACUAAUGAUGAAUACAAAUAAAAUCUUAAAAGCUAAGCAAUUUAAAGUGAGUUUUGGUUUCUGGUUUUCAGUUUUCAUUUUAUUUACCUUUCUUUAUGCGUGUGUGUAUUUAUAUAUAUUCCUACCUUAGCUUUCUCGCCAUCCUUCCUCCCUUCUCUCGUACCCUAUCAUAUAUUAUCCAACUAGUGUAAAAUAAGCUCUCAUUAUGCUCAUAACAUAAGAUAUGACAUAAGGAGAGAUUUUUCUGUGUAAUCGAAACAUAAGAGAGUACACUACAUGUCAUAAUAUAAGUGAAUGAACAUUGAAAAAUAUAUAUUCUAAAGCUUUGUCAUCCACUUGUAUGGUAACACGCGGUAUAAUAGUUUGUAUUUCAGAUAGAACAAUAUUUGGCUACUUAAGGAUGAGUAGGAACUUCUACUCAAAAUUCUUCACGUUCCAAUUAUUAGAGUUUUGUGUUUAUAAUCAAAACCGUUUAUAUUAUAAAUCACUUUGUAAGAAUUAUCUCUAUAAAAAUAAAUUAAAACUAAAAUUGUUUAGUCUAUCUAUUGUAGCAAAUACAUAGAUAAUCUGUAAUACUUUUGUCAAUUCCGUUCAUAUAUUUUUAUACAAUUCGAUGACUAAACGAUCUUAGUUUUAAUUGAUUUCUUGCUUAGGCGAUGAAUAGAGUGAUUUAUAAUAUGAACGGUUCCGAUUAUAAACACAAAGUUCUAUAAAUCGGCAACGAAUUAUUUUGAGUAUGAACUCCUACGUCACUUAGUACUAUGAUCUAGUAAUAUUCCUCUUGACUUAUAAGUGAAAGGUCUUAGAUUCGAUUAUUGUCAAAGAUGAACUUGAACCAAAUUGUUGUUGAUAUCCCAUUGUGAUGCUUAACUCACCACCUUUUCUCACGUAGAUAAUAUCGUUUUUUUUUUUUCUUCCAAGUUUUGCCCUUUCGGACAUGAAAAUAGUGAAAAAUCUUUUGUUAAGAAAUGCAAAAGGCAAAUGGCAGGCUUCCACGUGUUAACAAAAGCGGGAAAGCCUUAACUCUGUCUAGGAGUAAGAAUAGGAAGAAUUAUUAGGAAAUGAGAGGCCAUUGUGUAAUUUGUGUUUAGGUUUUUAUAACGUUACGCAGUCACCACUCCCUGCUUGCUUUCAUCGGCCGCCACCACUCACCCGCCUUCUCUUCUCUUCAGCUCCUCCCUCACUCCCACUCUCCGGUACCCCUCUCUCUCUUCGUAUGCCAAAUAUGCAUGUAUGUUGUGGCAAUGGUCUGUACUGUUGAUAUUCCAACAUCAAUUCCUCCUUGAUAUUAUAAGGAAGCAUUCGUAAAUCGAUGUUGUAAGAACAGAGCUCAGCUGGUGGCUAUGGCUCCUGCCCAACCAGACAUGGAGGCUGACCAGCUCCAAGACUGCAAACCAUUUGUCAACCCAAAAGUUGAACUUGUUGAGGAUGAUACAGAUAUCAGAAGGGCUUCCUUGCCAAACUCUGCUUCUGCUUCGGCUUCGGCAUCGGAGGGAAAACACAUCGCUCCAGUCGUCGACAUUGAUAUAAUUCAGUGCACAAGUAAUCAGGACAGUACUCAGCCUGAUCCCGAUGCAACGGAUGAAUAUUCAACCUCAUUCGCCGACACUACGUCCGACACUGACAAUUUUUCUGGAUUUUGUGAAGAAGGUGAAGUGCAGUCACACGAGCACAAUGCUUUGACAUCUGCUUUUGAUGCAUUUGCGAGUACAUUUCAAACCAGGUGUGUGUGCAGCUUUUUCCUUUCCCCCUCGUAAUUUAUUAUUUCUAGUUUAUAUCAAGUUACUUGUGAUUUCCGUUUGUACUUGGACUUCCCACAUGAUUAACUGCUACUACGCUCAAGCUUUGGAAUGACACGAUGAAACCCUUUGUAUUAUGCACAUCUUGAUUUGAAUUUUGGAACAAUCUACAUUCUAAACGUGAAACUUUACCACUAAAAACUUGUUAGUUUUUUCUUUUUUAAGUAACCCGCCGCUGGUCUGGAAGCCAGACUUAUGGUCAGGAGGAGGCUGAAAUGCCUCUGUGAGUCUUCUCGGCCCCCGAAAGGGGUGGAUAACCGUGGUUUGCCACUAGUUGUCCCCCCUUUUUUCUAAAAAAAAAUAGUAACUUGCUAAGUAAACUUAAGAUUGUCAGUGCGAGUGCGACCGCCCUGUGCAUAUUUUUAUGGGUGUUAAUCAUGAAAUAAUGUUGUCUUUCUAGAUGGUACAACAAUUAUCCAGUCUAAGGUUGUUUUUCCAUCCAAAAACACUGGGCGAACAUUCUCUGUCUCUCCAAUUUUACAAGUAUGUAAACAUAGACAUGGGUUUUUGAUACUUCAGUGUCAUCUUUUCGGCAUGUACAUCUGGGAAAUAGUAUAACCCCUCACGUGAAUAUCCCAACUGCCUUUGUUUCUAAUUCAGGAAGAAGAAGUUGACAAAUCACUGGAGGAGCUUUAUACGUCCUGUAAUGUGGCGCUGCAAAUGGAUGGAAUUGAGAAUCAAAGAAAUUGAAGCACAAGCACUAAAGUAUUCCAGAGACCUACGAGUAGCAUAUGAUAAAAAAAGGCAUACAGGAUUCGACCAACGUACUUUGGAUGAAUUUGGUUCAAAGUCAUUGCCAUUUUGUAGUCAAUUCCGCAGAAAGAAAGCUAUGAAGAGGAGGAAACGCAAGAGAGUUGAAGACACAACUGAUAUAGCAUCAUACAUCUCAAAUCAUAGUGUCUUUUCCUAUCUUGGUGGGAACUUCUUCUUUAUAUUAAAAUAUACCAUGAAUUUGCUCAUUCACUCCCCUUCUUAAAAUACACCUCCAGCCAUGAUAUUUAUCCUUGCAUUAUUAUGUAUUGCAGAAAAUAAAAGAUCCGAUCCUGACAGCACAUCCAUUGCUGAUGACUUUAAUAAUGCAGGUAUAGUUCUUACCAUUUGUUGUUUCUUCCUCGUGUUGAGCUGUAGGACUCUUCAUUCUUGCCAAUCUCAAUAAUUCAGCAACUUUUUGAAUUGUGUUCUUAAUUUUUUUUCUAGUUUUUUUCUUUAUUCACUAGUCCAAGCAUAAUUUGUUUCCUUAAGAUUGACUCCGAGACUUAUUUGAUUAUUGUUGAGGGGAUAGUAAUCACAGAGCAGAGUGCGGAUUACAAUGAUAAACUCAGUGCUGGUGAUAACUGGGCAUUCUUUGAGUACCGAGAUGGUGACAAGUCUUUGGAGCAUGUCCUUUGGAAAAUUGAGACAGUGCACUCUCGGGUUCACAAGUUAAAGUAUCAAAUGGAUGUGGUGAUGUCAAAAAAUGCUGCAAGGUUUUCUUCCAGCGAAAAUUUGAGCAUUCUUGUACCCUGUGAUGCACAGACCAGCUCUGCACAUAGUCCAGCAUUGUCUCCUGGCAAUGGAGAAACAAACUCUGCGGGAGCUAUAUAUACUUCAGCUCAACAUGUAUCAGGCUACAAUGUUGGGGAUCUCGCAAUGCCUGAAAGUGCAGUCUCAAGUUUUGUGGAGGGAGUCACUGUUCCUGAUAUAAUUGAAAGCACUGUGGGACUACCGUCUGCUGUUGACGUUACCUUCCAUCAGCCACAGUUUGGAGACUCAAGCGAAGAUGUAAGUCUUCCCUAUGGAACAUAACUUUCAUUCCACAACUUUCUUUUAACCUACAGCCAAAAAUAUUUCUACCAUGUGAUGAUAGAUGCAUAUCACAUAUCAACUACGGUAAAAUUGACGUAGUGGAUGUCAUCUCUUCAACAAGUACCACAUAAAAGGUCGUACCCAGUGCACAAGGCUCCCGCUUUACGCAGGGUCUGGGAGAGGUGAAUGUCAACUACCACAUAAAAUUUGACGUAGUGGAUGUCAUCUCUUCAACAACUACCACAUGUGGACAUUAAUUUUGUUUCAACAAGGGGCCUAAUUGGGAGUUAAAAAGUUACGCCAAACCCAAAAUUUGCCCAUCAUAUAGUUGAGAUAAUUAAUUGAUAUCGAUAGCAGCUCAAAGUAUUUUUGUUUGUGUAUUUAGUAGCUAAUAUAAGAUACCUUUUUAGUUGCCCUUUGUUUCUCUGCAUAACAGAACUGGAUCAUAGGGUUUUUAUGUCAUCUCUUACAGAUUGUGGAUAAUGUCCUGAUACAUAAUGAGGCAGCUGAAGCAGAGAAGCGCGCUUUCCAAAUGAUCAACGACCAACCUAAAGAGGAACAUCAGCAACCAGAGAAAGACUUACAAGAAGCCGCUUUUCCAACUCCACAAUCAGAACCUGCUCCCUCGGCAGAAGCUGCUGUUCCUCAGGAACAAUCAACUCUAGAGUCAUGCUUGGCUUCCGAUGUAAAUUUUCAUAGAAACAAGAGAAAGCGAGGGGAGCGGAAAGCAGGUUCGGUUGUUUGGAGCAAGAAAUGCUCAGGCGAGCCCGAUAGCCAAUGAGCUUCAUUUCCUUAAAUUAUGCUGGUUCAUGGAACUACAGAGACAUUUCCUCUUCUUUUUUCACAUGAGUGGAUACACGAGCUUGUUACAGUUAUUGUGAACUACCACUUGCUGUAUAUAGGGAAGCGGUUUCGGUUCCUAAGUUACGUCGCGGUUUCGGUUCCUAAGUUACGUCGCGGUUUGCAGCAUUGUCGCAUACACAUUGUGGCAAGAGCCAGUCUAGUGUAGUUUGACAGCCAAUAUGUGGAAUAGUUGGUCUAAUUACGUGUUCCAUCAACAAAAAAAGGUCUGAAAUCUUUAGGACCCGUUUGAUAACUAUUAGAUAUCAAUGGCUUCUCUUGCAUUACCCGGCACGAGCGGUUUUGUUGAUGAAUUGUUAGUGUUUUAUUUUUGGAAUACUUGCUAGUCAAUAACAGCUUUUAGUGACAAAAAUGUUUUACUUUUGUAAUGGCUAUGGGAAUGAUAUUAACUCCUAUUUAUUAUCUAUGUUAUGCCAGAUGUUCUAUGGGUACAAGCUUACUAAUGUAAAACCCAGUUUCGAUUUAUUCAUGCGAUAUUUUUUUCUUGUCAACGGUGAGAUUAUGUGAAUGAUCUACUACUGAGUUUGCUUUAAAGUAAAAAAAUAAAGUUGUUUUCUAAUUUUAGUUUAGAGCGAAAAAAACAAUUUAAAAUAACACUAUACUGUAAUGUUAAGUGGUUAAUAAUCAAUAUAAACUUAAUUAAUCAUAAACAGCUGCAUACACUUACAGGCAUUACCUCAUUGAUCUUUAUUUUUUUAUGUUGACAUGGCUUGGAGAAGAUGUAUUAAUUAGCUUAAUGAAUCAUUUACAUAACCGUAACUGAAAUCAAAAUACGGAAUUGAAUUUUGAUUACGGAAUCACCCCGAAGUUUACUAAAUAUUGUGGAAUAAAAAAAUUGGUGGAACACACACGAAUGAAAUUGAACUCUCAACAUUUAAGCGGUGUUCUAAUUCUGGAUUUUUGAGGGAAUCGGAAAUGGAGUUGGUCACACGCCAAUGGAAUUGGGGUCCCUAUUGUUCUUUAAGAUCAGUUGCCGACCGUUCAGAAGUAAAUCGGUUGAUUUGCAUGAUGCCUAUAGGAGAGAUCAUGCCAUUAGGGUGCGGAAAACUACCAAGUUGGAAGGAGAACUUCUUAGAGAAUCUCUAACAAUUUUAUUAAAUUGUUCCUGGUUUAGCAGUUGAAUAAUGUCACGUCUCCAACAACACGUUAUGUUUUAACAAACUUUGAAUUUUUAUUAUCACUCAUUUUAAGAAGAAAAAACUCAACUCACUCAUUUUUUUAAACAAACAUACAUUCGAUCUCUUCCUUUUAUCAUUCGCUAGUGAAUUCACACUUGGAAUUUCAUUAAUUUUUUAAUAUCUAGCUCAUGAAUAGUUGCUCUAUAAACUUAAAUACUAACCGUUCAUUUUUCUAUAACAAAAACUCUUUUAUAGAGUCAAGCUUCUCUUGAAGAUGAGUUUUUUCAAAAUUUAAAACUCUUUAAAAUAAAGUUUUAGGGGAUUUACAGUUUUAUGUGGAGAUGCUUUAAAUGAAGCUGGGAAGGAAAUUCUUGUAAAUGACCCAAACCAUCUCUAGUGUUCAUUAUUAUCUUCUCCCCAAAGUUCUUAUUCUGAGCUUCCAAUUUUGUGCAAGUUUUCUUGGGUAAAAUUGAUGACAAAUGUCGAAUUCAUUGGAAACCUUGGGAGUUGAUGUGUAGGCUAAAUAGUGGAGAAAUUUUGUAUGCAAGACGUCUUUAUAUAUCAAGUAUUAUAAUACAAUUAGUUGAAUAUUUUUUUUUUCAAGUUUUCAAUAAUUAUAUUUUUAUACUUGAUGUAUCAGAUCGUAUUUUCAACUAAAAUAUCCCACAACCACAUAUCAUAAUAAAAGUCAAGGGACAUAUAUGGAAAAAUCUCUCCCAAUCAUGAUGUCUUUUUCCAAUGCAGCAGCUUUUAGGUUCUUAAUAUAACAUCUCUCACAAAUGAAUUAUGAUGCCAUCUAUUAUAAGUUCGAUGGAAAGAGGUUCUCUCAGGAUUCCUUCCUUUUAAUUCAUCAAGUUUGAGAAUUUAGAUCGUUGAUUUUUGAUUUAAUGGUUAAAGUUGUUAUAAUUUUUAAAGUGAGUCCCUGUUUAUAAUCAUUGGAUUAAAUUUUAACGGCUCAGAUCCUUGUAUUUGAUGGAUUAGGAGGAAGGGAUCCAUAGAGGAUCCCUUUCCAAGUUCGAUGACCCAAAGAGCAAGUUUUUUCUGAUUUUAAGGAUUCCGCUCUAGCAACAAAGAAGAAAGCAAUUUCUAUUGUUUAACUUGGCUAGUUUCGCAUUUGAAUGAAUUUUUGUAAGGAUAAUUUUUAGGGAGUUUUAACGAAAAGUUCACGGUACUGUUCACUUUAACGAAAAACCACAUUUUUACACUAAAAAGUCAAACAUGGUACUAUUUAUUUUACCCUUUAUUUUGUCCUUAUCAUUAAAACUCAAAGUUUUCAAACCCUUUUCAUUAGUUUACUUAAUUUUUAACGAAAGAGCUAGACGGUUGAGGUGAUGGAAGUACACUGUUAAAGUAGGCUCUAUACGGGUGUCAGUUAAUAUUAUGAAAAAGGUUUUUGGGUAGGGUUGAGAUAUUAAACGCGAGGCAUGAGGUAUGAUGCAUGCCAUGAGAGGUACAGGUUGAUACCUAUAUGAUAAUGAUAUGAUUCUUGUGUACAAAGGCCAGGCCAGGCAGGCAAGGCAUGUCUGAACACAUUGGUGCUUUAGCUUUCCCCCAUGCUAAUAAUCAUAGACAUUGGGAGGGAGGUAACCAUGAUUACAAUCAUUUGGGUAGCUUUUUAGCUUUAUAUAUAUAUAUGAUAUAAUGACACAUCCCGACCUGGAAUGUCUAGUAGAACUCCAAAUCGAGCUGUGCUGGUCGACAUCUGAAAAGUGAUGAAGCCAUAAAAUGUGAUGAUGUGGAAAAAUUAUGAAUAAAUUUAAACCUAAGAGUGCCUAAAUACCAGAGUGCACUGGUGAACGGGAAUAAACUCACUUCACACGUGAUGUUAGAGCAUAAGUAAGUACAUAAGAGUGAAUUAAGAAUCGUACCCUCGAAAUAAUCUCCAAUACUAAGAAUCACCACGAAUCUUCGACGAUAAAAAAGCUCAGCUGAUAAAACCUGGAGGGUGAAGACAAGACAUGGGUGAGUGGCCUUGUAAGUAAGAUUUUAAUAGAAACCAUAUAAAACAUUAUAACCUCUCGCUGCAACCCCUGUAUAAUUUCCAGAAAAUCAUAAUAUACCACAACACAGCAUCUCAUCAGUAAUAUCAAAUAAUCAUGCGAUUAAUAACUCAUACUAGUACGCAAGUCGGAGUCACCUAGGGUGACAUGUACGACUUACCCAUAUCUCAUCACAUAUAUUAGUUCAUCAUUUAUUUCCUCACAUAUGCUAGUUCAUCACAUAUUUCAUCACAUAUACUAGCUCAUCACAUAUCUUAUCACAUAUGCUAGCUCAUAAGUUGGGAGUCACCUUUCACAUAUAGUGACCUAUACGACAUAUUCAUAUCUCAUCAAUCAAUCUAGCCGGAGUCACAUAUAGUGACCUAUACGGCAUUACGCCUGCACACGAGUCGGAACCACUGUAAUGGUCUGUACGACAAGACUGGGUGUAAAUGAAUACGCUCAAGUGAUACGAUCACGUGAAAAGUCACCUACGAGUCAGAAUCACCUAUAGUGGUCUGUACAACAAGCAUGUGCACUUACCUUGAAUUCAAGGUGAGCGUAUGGUGCAAGAGGUGAACAUUACGUGAAAGAUUGUGCCCUGGCCACGGACGGGAGUACUAACACCGAGGUGUAGGUUUAUGAGCUUUAAAUGCAUAUAAUACAAUAUGUACGACUCAUAAGCAACCUGUACGACAAUGCCGGAGUUGCCUACUAUUGCAACCUGUACGACAGUAUCGGAGUUACUUUCAAGAGUAAUCAUCGAUAAGCCUAAUUAGACACUAGCUAAAUUAACUAUCAAUUAAUUCCCUUUCCUUACUUCAAUUUCUUGAUUAUUCAUGCAAUGAUUUAUGAUCGACAUUUAACCACUAAAACAUAGGGUCAAAUCUUAUAAUCUUUCCACCAAUGUCCCUCAAACUGCUCAAUUUCCCAAACUAGAUUAUUGUCUCGAUUAUUCAUUCUCAUUUAUUAUAUGGUUGCAUCUAACAUCUUGUUAGACUGCAUACGUACCCUAAACAGGGAUCAAGCCAUUCGUAGUUCGCAAUAGUAUUUCAAAGCAUUCACAAUAAUCAUAAGCAAUAAUCAUUUCAUAAACAUUUAUGGAAUUGUCAAUCAUACAUAUAUAUAACCCACUCACCUGAGGUCCGCGCUACGACUCCCUAGUAUGCAUACCGAGACAUCACGAACCAUCGUCGCCUACGACCAAUUAUCAAAUCACAUCUCAGAAUUCUGACCAAUACAAAUACAUAAUUUACAUAAAACACACCCUAAGAUUUGAUAUGGAAGAUCCGCAUUACGGAUCUCCGAUCCGUAAAUUCUUAAGAUCCACAUUAUGCUUCUAGAACAACAUCCUAAACUUUCAUUACGAUGCAAAGGUCGGAUUUCCGUCAAUUGCCCAAAACUAAGUGACGGUUAACAUUUAUUUUAUAAACUUACAAAUCCAAUUCGGGAAGAUCCGUACGUCGGAUUCCUGAUCCGUAAGUUCCUAUGAUCCUCAAAUAUUAUGCACUAUAAUGUAUUAAAGUUUGGUGACGGUCAAAUGGUCGGAUCGUCAAUUCAUAUAACGACCUAUUAACAUAACGUAGAGAAUUUAGAUUCCAACAAUCAACCUACGUCAUAUAACUACCAAAACUGAACUCAAGGCAUCUAAUUAGCCUAAGAAUAACAUUGACGGCACCUUGGCCACGCGCCGCCGCACCAGCCACCGCGGAUGGCGGUCGGCCGUUCCGGCUCGCCGGAAAAUUCAACUAUUUCUAAAAAUUCUCAAAAAUUAUAGAAAUGAAGAUCUCAAAGAGUAGAGCAAACUUUAUACCUGCGGCCAAGACCAAUUUGGCCGGGAAACACCUCAAUUACACAAAAAACCGUCGGAAACCCUGUAAAAGGUGUGCCUUGAUUCGUCCUCAAUUCAAGUCCGACGCUCCAACCAUUGAUUGUCCAUUGUUCUAGGCCUCAAGGGGAGUUGGUUGAUGGUGGGAAUUGACGGGAAGAGUUGUAGAAAAUGGCGAAUCACCGUUGGGUGUCCUCGGAGUUGCCACCGUCAUAUCCCACAAAACAGGGCCAAAUCCCGUCCAAUUUGUGUAGGAAAUCGAAGAAGAAGGACCAAGAAGUAGUUCCCCGGUGUUGGCCUGGUGCAAUUCGUCGAAAUUUGACCGGAGAAAGCCCUGGAUUUCAUGUAUUCCCGCCAGGUCCAGUUUUAAAGGAGAAACGGAUCGAGGGGGACUCAGGUAGUCUACCCCUUUCCCUCCAUCCUUUCCCUCUCGUCUCUCCCUCUUAUUCGUCUCAUCUCUCUUUCUCCUUUUCUCUGAUUCGUCCCUUGUUCUUUCUCCUUCUCUCUGAUUCGUCCCUUGUUCAUCUUUUUCUCCCUCUCCACUUUGCUGCCAUCAGGCAGCCUUCCUCUUCCUCUUUAAAAUAAUUAAUUGAUAAAUAAUAUCAACAUUAUAAAAUAUAUAUAAAAUAUAAUUAGUGACUAAGACAAAAGUACUUCUCGAGUUUACAGUUCUAUAAUGUCGAGUACUUUAGGAAAACACUAAAGAAUUAAUUCGUACACCUCAUUAUACGCUGAUCAAUGAAAGUCAAUACCCCCGCCUCUAAGGGCAUUUUCGUAAAAUCACGCUUUUAAAAUUAAUAUAAAUGUAAAAUUUGGGACGGGUUGUCACAUAUAAGAUUUAUUCGCAUUUUUUUCUUUACUUUAUGCAUGCUAUUGUUUAUAUGACAUGAAUUAUCAUAUCAUAACAACCAAAUCAAAGUGGUAUAUUGUCAUUACUAUACUACUAUACUAACCGAAUAAUUUGAUAUAUCAAAAUUUGGUGUAUCAAAAGUUUGACACAGCAAUGUAUUUUGAGAUACCAAAAAUUUAGUAUGGUAAUUGAUAUUAAAAUUUUAGUAUGAUAACUGUACCAACCCAAUCCUAAUUUAAAUACAUCCAGUGGUUCUCAUGUGAUUUUUUUAAUUCAAAAGUAAAAAAUAAACACGAAGUAUCAGGAAGAGAAAAAGAAUUCGUGAAAAAUCACAAACCAAAAUGAUUUUCUUUGAAAGUUAUGAAGGGGAGCUUUAGUAGUUACAUCAUGAUUCAUAAAGCAAAGAGAUUUUGAAUUUUGAAACUCUCUCUCUCUCUCUGGAGGAGUCAGGCCUGCCAAGUUGCCAAGAAAAAGAGGUAAUAAAGAAAUGGAGUAAAGAAAAAGGAGCACAUUGCCAUCUCUAUCUUCUCCAUCUUUGGAUCAGAAAUUGGAGCAAAAGCAGCUGCAGGGUCCUCCACAUUAUUCUCAUCAACCCAAAUGAAACUUCUUCUUCCUCCUUCUCCUCCUCUUUCUUCCUUUCCCAUCUCAUUAUUCUUCACCUGGACCUGCAUUAUCUGUUCAUGCAAGAUCCAAGUAACUCACAAGCAAGGUAUGCCCAUUGCCCGCCCCUCUCUCUCUCUCUCAACAUGCACACCCUGCGCACAUUGUAAGCUUGUAGGUACAUAAUCAUAUGGCCUAAAUGGAUUAUUAGUAUCUGGUGAUAUUGUAGUUGGAAGGUAAUUCAUGUGAUUAAAAAAUUAGAAUUUAAGCUCAUAUAAUAAAAUUUGUUAGAAUUUAUGCCCAAAUUUGAAAUUUUUAUCGACUUUCCGUUGAUUAUUAGCACAUGAGCCAUACAUAUUAGGCUAAAACGAAACUCUCCAUUAAUUGUUAGCACGUGAGACUCAUAUGUGAGAUUUAGUCUCACAUGUAAGUCUCACGUGCUAACAAUUAAUGGAGAGUUAAGGAAAAUUUCAAUUUUGGUUUAAAAUCUUAACAGAUUUCACCACAAGGAGUUUAAAUUCUUCUUAUUAUUAUUAUUUUUAUCACAAAGGCUAUCUUCCAAUUAUUUUAUCACCGCAAGAACUAUUAAUCUAAUUAAGCCUAAUCAUAUUUACAUGAAUGUUAUGGCACAAUUAAUUUGAGUCCUGCAUGCUUCUUCAAUGUUGAUUAAGUAAUUGCUGCUUUUUAUAUAAUUUUUAUAUAUAUUGAGUUUAAUAUUUACUAUAUACAAAUGGUUAGAGUGUUAUGCUAGUCUACUAAAGAGAACGGAGAAUAUAAUUUUGGAAUGCUAAUUCAUGUCUAUUGACAAAGUUAAUCAUAUAUUUCAGGGGUUUUAUGGUUUUCGGUCCAUUUCAUUAACAUCACUUUGGGUCUUGUCCAUCUAAUCUACUUACAAAGAUGCGGUCCAACUCAAUUAAAAAUUCUGCCACAUAGACUAUUUACAUCCAACAGGAUCUUCUCGGGAUCCUUUUGGUGAGAAUUCUGGAGAUCAAUGAAUCGUGUCCGUUUAUCGUACAUAGUUUUUGUCAAAUACUGUUUAUAUUUAAUUUUAAAUAAAAAUAUUUGAAAUAAUUUCUGACCGCAUGAUAUACGAUAAACGAACAUGAUUGACGAAUCUCCGAGAUUCUCACAAAGAGGAUCCGGCGAUGAUUCAGAUUCAGCUAUGAUAUUUUGAAAGGGUAAUGCUAGGACUGUCAAAAUUUUAAAUCAAAUGAUGUGACUGUUAAUGAUUUGAUUAUUAUUUAAGUGUUGAUUAACGUGCUUAUUUUAUAUUGCUGACAUAUUAUUUAAUUUACAAAUUUAGUUUAAAAUUUUGAUCUCCCUAACAUUACUCAUUUUGAAAUACUACCCCAUAAGCCACUGAUUCUAAAUGGUAGACUACUCGCUUCAUCCUUAAAUCCAAGCCACCUAUCAUUCCUAUCUCCAACGUUAUUAUUACUUGAUAAGUAAUGUUACGGAGACUGCAUAAGUAUACUAUAUUGAUUAACCAUAUAAUGUGAUAAGAGAUUCAUACAGUUGAUAUUUAAUCGGAUAAACUCAUUAAUUGAUACGAUAUGCAUACAUUAUUUGACGCAUCAGAUAAUACAUCAAUAUGGUACAAACAUGUAGUAUACCCGCAUAAGUAUACUAUAUUGAUUAACCAUCUAAUGUGAUAAAAAAAUUAUUGAUAUUUUGUGUAAAAAUGUAGUUUUUCGUUAAAGUAAAUAGCAUCAUAAGCUUUUCGUUAAAGUUCCUAAUAUCUUAGGGUAUAAACGGCAUCCAGGCUAAAAAAUAAGGAAAACUAAUGAAAAUGGCUUAAAAACUUUGAGUUUUAACAAUAAGGAUAAAAUAAAGGGUAAAAUGAAUAGUACUAGGAUUGACUUUUUAAUGUAAAAAUGUGGUUUUUCGUUAAAGUGAACAGUACCGAAAAUUUUUCGUUAAAGUUCCUAAGAAAUAAGCUGACUCAUAAUAAAAAAAAAGAAAUUUAUUAAGUAGGUCCAAAAGUGAAUGGACUUAAAUUAAUAAGAUAAAUAUGUAGGAUUAAACCUAAUUAUUAACUACGUAAUUGAUCUUAUGUCUAAUUAUCUCUAUGUUUUAUGCAUUCAUAGAUGUUUUCAUUGUCUUUAUCUCGUACCUAUUGACACAACUAACAUAAUCUUAUAAUUUGCACUUCAUCUCUAUUUGAUACGUAUUUUUUUUAGUACAUUGAUAUUUUUACACUAAAAUGAAUGGAGUUCGGUUAAGCCACACAAUGGACAGCCUAAUUUGGUAUUGAAUUCGCCAUCCACAAUAUUCGAACCUAAGACCUCUAACUUCUAAAUGAAGAGGAAUAUCACCAAACCGUAGUACUAAAUGGCCUAUCUUAUACGUAUUAAUCAGACAAUAUAAAUUGAGACGCUUCCUUUCAUAUUGACAAGUUUUUUUAUUUGGUACAUGUGAGAUAGUUAUCUUGGGGAUAUUACAGUUAAUAUAAUGCAUUUGUUUUUGAAUAUAUAGGAAUAAGCCUUGGUAUCAAAGAGCAAUGGAGAUGGGCAGUUUGUGGAGAAGCAUCAGCAAUACUUCCAAGUCCACACAAGUUCCAGCAUCAACUUCAUCCACGCUAUGGAAAACCAUUGUUAAUGUUAGGAGUGGGCACUUGGAACCGAAAACCGAAACCGAAACACGAAACAAACCAAGCACGCCUAAUGUCCAAAGUGGUGGCAGUAGUACUGCUACUGGAACAAACAAUCACACUUUUUCUGCAGCUUCCAGUUCGAGUUCGAGUUCGAGUUCCAGUAACAAUAAUAUUAGACAUGCCAACAAACUGCGAAAAUGUACCUCUCUAAAGGUUGCCACUUCAUUUACAAGGGUGUGCCUUUGUGCACCAAUAUCUUCCUACAAUGAGGUUUUCAGAGCCGAGCUUCCCCCAAGAAGAAGCAAUAGUUACCCGAGAACGCGAUCGUAUUCCAAGCCACUUGGUACAACUAGUAGCAGUACUACUGCACAAGCACCACAACAAGCAAUGAGCGCAAGACGACUUAGUACCGACCAAGGAAUCAGAAGAGUGUUUCGAGGAAAGUCAUUGACCGACGACGUGUUGAUGAGAAGGUUUGUUGUAGAAGAAGAGGCAAUGAUGCAAGUUAGAAGGAGAAAUCAAAUGGAAGUCAUAAGGAGGAGAAGUGUGAUGAGGAGGAAGAGGCUUGGCCCCAGUCCUCUUAGUAGAAUGGUUAUGGCUCAGGUUCAGGAGGAGGAUUAAAACAUUUUCAACUUUCCCCUCAUUGUCUUUUUUCUCUUAAUUAUUAUUUGUGGUCAAAGGGAGAACUGCCACACUCUCUUUCUCUAACACAUCUUUUUCAAGAAUUAUGAUCUGAAGAACUUCAACUUGUUUGACCAUUGGUCUGGAAUUCGUCACCUUGAAAUCUAGAAUUUUUUCGAGAACGGACUUUUUGGAGCCUGCAUCCUCCGUUUUGUAUUUCUUCUCCAAUGACAACCAUAGUUCUUUGGAUGUCUUGCAGGAUGCAUACACAUUGUGAAGAGUAUCAUCUAGUCUUUUAAAAAUGUAAUUUUUGCACAAAAAAUUCACUAUGAGUCGAAGCAUCAAUGGCACUUAUAGUGUCAUUGUCAGGGUUUUUUUUUGGUCAAAAAUGAGACUCUUCCUUCACAACAUGUGCAAGAUUUAAUGUUGUUAUUAGGGCUGGGUUCGGUUUGAAACGGUUCGGUUUUUUGCUAAAAUCGAAACCAAACCGAAAUUUCGGUUCGGUUCGGUCCGAUUUUUUUUCGGUUCGGUUUCGGUUUUUUUUCGGUUUUUUCAUGAUUUUUUUUUUUAAUAUCUGGAGCUUGAAGCACAUUUAUUUUCGGCAUUCGGCUGCAAAUUUACCCUUUCUCUCCAUUAACCCUCGUCGAAACAGUAACAAUUUGAGGCAUGCAACAACUGUUUCUUGUUCCUGUGAUCUGAGGAGGAAAAGGAUUUCAUCCACCCAACUUCAGUGCCCACUGCAAAACGAAAAGAUUAAAACUUUAGUCAUAAAAAAUUCACCGAAAAAUAUAAAGAUUACAAAAAUAAUUGGAAACAUUACCCAGAAAAAAAUUGAACUUCAAACGGAAUUUAAAAAUCAACAAUGACAAAAAAAAAAUCAUCAAAAACAAACAAAAAAGGUCAAUUGAGAAAGGAGUAUGCAAAAAUGAAGAAAAGAAUUGCGAAAAAAGGGGAUAAGCAAAUAAUGAUAUCAAGGGAGAAAAAAAGAAAGGGAAAGAAAUGGGUGAGACUCUCACAACACAAAAAUCAAACAAAUCUACAAUACAAAACAAAACAACAACCCAUAAAUUUACACCAAAAUUUCAGAUUCCCUCCAUGGAAUUUACUCUAAAAAAACCCAUAAAUCGACAAAAUAAAUAAGAGAGAUCGGAGAUCUUACCCUGGAGUGAGAAGAUCGAGAAACGGAGAGAGAAGAAUGGAGAAGAAUGGAGAAAUUGGAGGCAUGGACAAGGAGGGAGUUUGGAGGCGCAGGGACGAGAGAGAGAAGAAGGGAAUGAAAAAAGAAAAGGUAUGGCUGCUACUACUAGUGGCUAGGGUUUUGUUGAUUUCUAAUUGCACAAAAGGCUAUAGAUUUAUAUAUUUAUAAAUAGUUUAGUUAUACAACUAUAACAAAACAAAACCAGUUGCCAUGUUGGUUUCGUUGAAACCUCUAAAUUGGAGCGCACGGGUUCAAACCCACAUGCCUUCAGAACUUUAGAGAUUUUUUAAUUUUUAUAAUUAAAAUAUUAUAAAAAAAAUAAUUAAAUAUAUAUUCGAUUCGGUUUGGUUCGGCUCGGUUUCCGAACCUUAAAAAUCGAAACCGAACCAGCCAUAUUCGGUUCGGUUCGGUUUGACAGUUUUCGGUUCGGUUUUUUUCGAUCUCGGUUCGGUUUGGUUCUCGAUUUUUUUCGGUUUUCGGUUUUUUGAACCCACCCCUAGUUGUUAUGUAGGACAACAUCUUUUGCUUUGCCAACUUUAGAAGUCUCAUCCCUUACAAUUUUGCGGCUUUUUGGUACGAGGGUUCUUGGUGCUACUUGUUAGACAUAUUUUCAAAGAGUAAUACUAGGGAGACUAAAUUUGUAACCUAAAUGUUGGAAACUAAAAGACAUGGAAGUUGAUGAUUGGUUUAUUACUUAAGUGUUGAUAAACGUGAUCAUUUUUAUUAGUGACACAUAAUUUAGUUUGCAAAUUUAGUCUUUCUAGCAUUACCGAUUCUAAAAUCACAAGAACAGACAUUAUGAUCACUAAUAUAAUGAAUGAAUCAAUAUAAAAUAGAGAUGAACUAAUUAUAUUGAUCUUACCUGUAGAAUACGGAAAACAUGGCUCUUCCGGAUGAUAGAGGAAUCGGCGUAUGCAUAAGAAUGUCUUCUACCCUCUCCAAACUAUAUGUUUUUGCUAUGAAUAGGGUUUAACACAUAAUGGAACAAUUAUUGUGAGAGCAAACACAAUCUUUAUAUAGUUGCUAAGAUAUUUUUCAAUCAUGUCUAUUAUUAAAUGAGAAAUACUCAUAUUCACAAUUAUAUAUUUUAUAUCCCACCAUAAUAAGCCUUUACUAAAUAGGGAUCACGUAAUAGGUUAAUCAGAAGUUAAGACUUUAUUACUCUAACCAUAUUUGGCCAUAAGAUCACUUCGACAAUCAAGUCACCUAAAUAUUAAGUUACUCGAGAAUCAAGUGAUUGAUUUACAAAGAUAUUGACACUCAUAAUUAUUCUUACACCACUCAUAAUGACUAACUGCUCCAUAACAUAUUUUCUGUGUAUAAGAUUGUUGGAAUGAGAAAUGUUAAGAAGACUUUCUCAAAAGUGGACUCUCUUUGAACUCUCUACCACCUCAUAUUAUUGACACAAUUCUUGUCCCAACAUUAAAAAAUAUUGUGCCAAAAUAUGAAGUGUCGGAGAGUCCAUAGUCCCGUUUUGAGACUCUUUAUCAUUUCUCUUGUUGGAACAGAGAUAUAUACUUUUCUUGAUAACAGUAAUUAGAAUACGAAAAAAAAUAUUAAUAAGGACAAAACAAAUAAAUAUAAUAUGAAAAUAGAAAGAGAAAUUCACUAGCAAUUGCAAAUAAAUAUAAUAUGAAAUAGAAACAUAAAUUUAUUCUGGUGCGGGUUCGAUUUCUACCAAGUCUUUUUCUCCUAACAGAUAACUGUUUAACCCACUAACGUUAUUGUUACCCUAAACCCCAUUUUUCCUAUGGACACACUUCCUGUUAAGCCUUGUUAUAACUCAACAUUCAGCAAGAUAUUGCAUGUUUUGAGCCCAGUUGGCCGGCAUGAUUUGUGUUUUGGGAUUUUUAAACCCAAAAUGCGUCAUGGUGUGGUUACGCAUAGCCUGCAUAUUCAUGGCUCCAAGCGUCCAAGGUUUUUGUUUGAGACAACUCCGGUGUCUUCCUUGGUGGUACAUAACACAAGACAACACUCUCACCUUUUUAAAUUGAUGAAGACGCAUGACUUGUAAUGAUAAAUUGAUGAAGACAAAGCUCCAUUUUGGACUCUGUCUUUUGUUUUUAGUAAUGAUAAAUGUAAUUGAAUUACUUAGUGGGUUAGGAUCGAGUAUACAUUUUUUUUAAUAAACGAUAUUAUCUAGCUAAAUGGUGUGAAAGUGAGGUAAGUCUUACAAUAGGCUAGCAAUAAUAUGGUUUAAAUUCGUCUUUGACAAAAAUCGAACUUAAAACAUUUCACUUACAAGUGAAGAAUAACACCACUAGACCGUAGUACUAAGUGGCAGAUCUGGUAUACUAAUUUUUUAUACACAUUUUGACAUAUAUUUCAUAAUGUAUCUUAACGAUCCGAACUGUUUAUAUUGUAGCAUCAUUAAUAGAUCAUCUUUACAAAAAAAUUAGAAAAUUUUAAAAUCAUUAAGACAUUUUUUUUUGUAAUUUAAAAACGGACACAUAUAGUCUACAAAGAAAUACUAAAAAGAAAGGUUUUUUUUAUCCAAAAUUGUCAAUGAGAUUUGAAAUCGAAAUAAGUGGUCCCUGAGUUUGUCCACCAUCAAUCGUUUUGGUUCUUGUGUGAAAAUAUCUAUUAAAUAAGGACCAAAAUGAUAAAAAUCACUCAAUUUAAUAAACAAUUGGCCAAAAUGAUUUGACAAAAAAUUGAAGGUAUUUUUGUUAUUUUCUCCUUAUUUAACGAAAAUUUUUCAUAGAAUGAUAAAAAUGAUUGAUUGUUAACAAACUUAAUGCUAAUUCUAUCAAUUUUAAAUUUCAGAGACCAAAAUAAGGAAUUAUGCCAAUCUCUCUGAUCAUUUUGGCUAAAACCAAAAAGAAAUACUAUUUUUCUUUCUUGAUCUUUUAGGUCGCCUAAGGUAUCUAAAAGGUUAAUUCCGAAAGAAAAAAAAAAGUAUCUAAAAGGCGAUAAGGUUUGGUUGAACAACGUAGUUGACCUAACAAAACUAAUAUCCAUAAUUAGGAAAAUCUUUUGACUAUUUAUUAUUUAAGAGGAAUAAAUUAAUUAAACAUUGUGGCAUCUCUCUUGUCCGUGAUAUGCAUUAUCAUAUUGUCACGCACGUUAUGUGGACUAGUAGCAUUUAAUAUUGUCACAAAGUAAUAUUUAGUAUAUAUACCAACGAAAUUGGAUCCUCUCCGAGGCAACCCCUCGGGAUCCUUCUGAUCGGUGUUAGUGGACCGUUGAAUUUUUAUCCAACGGCUACAAACAGGGGAUCAUCUAAAAGUUAGAAUAAUUGUAUUCGUUGGAUAAAAAUCCAACGGCCCACUAACCCCUAUCAGGAGGAUCCCGAGGAUUUGUCUCGGAGAGGAUCCAAUUCCUAUACCAACGACCCCUUCCAUUCUUUUUUUGCCACUUAAUUUUAAUUAUAUGUAUUGUCAAUUCCAUCCCAUACUCCUUUUUUUAUUUACCAAAGAUAGCUCUAAUGAGUUAAGACGGUCAGCUGGGAAAUGUUUUUAAUAUGAUUGAAAUCGUUUUUGAUAAAAUUUUGAAACCAAUUUUUAGUGAAAAUUUAAGUGGAUCUCGAAAAAACACUUUAAAUGUUUCUUGCAAGAAUCAAAUAUUUGAUGUUUCUUCCAAAAAACAUCUAACAUGUCUUUGGAAGCUAAAAAUCAAUUCAAUCAAAAGAGUUUUUAAUCAUUUUAAAAGUGCUUCAAAACGAGCUCUUAGUUGUUAGUAAGGAGGGGAAUUAAUGGGAGUCAUACUUGCAUCAUGAUGAAUAGAUAUAAUUGUUUUCUGUUAUUGUGAUAAAACGUCAUAUGUAUCACCGUAUUCCAUUAUCAUUAAAGACAAAAAAUAUUUGAAAUUGAACAAAAAUCUUUUUAAUAUAACCAACUUUCAACACACGGGUCAUCUUUGUAGCAUAGUUUGGGAAGUGUGCGUGGAAAUUUGGAUCGUAGAGUAAAAGUAAUGGAAAAGAGAAGAUAAUUGUGAUGAAGGGUCGACUUUCAUCUCCUAUACUGCAACCCAAUUUAUGGCUACAUUUUUUUUUGGUUUACUUGGGUUUGUUUGUUUGAAUUAAGGGUUGCUAUUCACACUUUUAUUUUUACAUUCCAUAUACUUUGUUAAUUUUUGUUCAUUAAUUUUGUUCAAUUCAUUUGAUGGGAUAUCUGAAAAUUUAUAAUGAUAUGUGAAAAGUAAAAUUGGAUGUGUGGAUAUCACCACUCUUGAAUUAAAUAGUAAACUAGCCAAACUCUCUCACAUCUAUAGCUUUUAUAGAAAAAGCAAUUAGCAACGAUAUUUGGAUUUUAGCCCAAUUUGAGGUUUAAGUGAUGAACUAAAAAUAUGAGUAUGGAGCAAUGAUCCUAUUCAAUAACAUCAUUAAAUAUUUCUUCCAAAGUAAAGGGUUUAACGAGGCAAAAAAAGUGAUGAAAGUUCCAAUGUUGUUACCAAAAGGAUCACUGCUCCACAUUGUAAUAAAUUCACGAACCAAUGCUCAUGAAUUUUUAAUUUAAGAACCAAAACUCUAAGUAUGCUAAAGUUAGGAAGUCAUUGCCCCAAUUAUCAUAUCAAUUUUCGUUAAUAUGAUAAGAAUAUUUUGCUCAAGUAUUGAGUUUGACACUUAUUUCCAUUGAAAUGUCAAGUUAUCAAGAGCUUAUAUGUUAAAAAUUUAAGAAUUAAUCAAGAAAUGUAAUUUUUUUUAAAAAAAAUCACGAAACGACUUAAUAAAAUGCCUCUAAAUUUUGUCAAAUGAUAGGUGUAACAUCCCACAUCGCCCAGGGGAAUAGAUCUUGUAAGCCUUAAAUGUAUAUUCUCAUCUCUACCUAGUACGAGGCAUUUUGGGAGCUCACUGGCUUCGGGUUCUGUCGGAACUUCGAAGUUAAGCGAGUUCGCGCAAGAGCAAUCCCAAGAUGGGUGACCCACUUUGAAGUUUUCAUGUGAGUUCCCAAAAAUAAAAUCGUGAGGGCGUGGUCGGGGCCCAAAGCGGACAAUAUCGUGCUACGGCAGAGUUGAGCCCGGGAUGUGGUGGGGGCCUGGGUCGGGAUGUGACAAUUUGGUAUCAGAGACAAUCCCUGGCCAGAGGUGUGUCGACGAGGACGUCGGGCCCCUAAGGGGGGUGGAUUGUAACAUCCCACAUUGCUCAGGGAAGUGAAUCAUGUAAGCCUUAAAUGUAUAUUCCUAUCUUUACCUAGCACGAGGCCUUUUGGGAGCUCACUAGCUUUGGGUUCCGUCGGAACUUCGAAGUUAAGCGGGUUCACGCGAGAGCAAUCCCAGAAUGGGUGAGUCAUUGGGAAGUUCUCGUGUGAGUUCCCAUAAACAAUACUAUGAGGGCGUGGUCGGGGCCCAAAAAGGACAAUACCGUGAUACGGCAGAGUCGAGCUCAGAAUGUGUGGGGGCUCGGGCCGGAAUGUGACAAUAGGCAUUUAGAUCACUUUUAUUUGUUAACAAUUUAAGAAUUCAAGACGUAAAUUACAUGGAAGGUGUUUAUACCAUACUUAGGGCCUCCAUAUUUAGAUCUCAUACAAAUAUUCGGGGGACUUAAAUGUAAUUAUGUAAUAAAGAAAUGGGUAAAUAUGUAAUAAGUGAGGAGCCCCUAUUCUAUAAAAGGACUCCUCACCCUCACAAUUGGAAGAUGCCAAUUCCUAGGCCUUCUCACCCUCUCUCAAAGCUCUCACUCUCAAAGCUCUCACUCCCUCAGAAAUACAAUAUCAGUGUGAACGUAGCCCAAACCUUGGGGUGAACCACAAUACACCUUGUGUUAUUUACAUUUCUUGCAAAUUCACGGUCGGAUUUACGUUGUUCCAAGACCUCCAGUUUUGUGCAUCAAUAUUUGACGCUGUCUGUGGGAAACAACACAAAAAGCUAUGUCGGUUUUCUCUCAUUUUUCAUCUCACCACUGUCCACCGUGGAUCUGCAAAACCCAAUAAACACCAACCCCCCUCUUCUUUCUUAUCUGCUCUGUCUCAGAAGUGUCUAAGUCUCAAUUGGCCCAAAACCAAGACCCAUCAACACCAAAACACACACUCUGUGUGUAUGUGCGUGCACUGCUUUAACCUUAUCUUUACUCUGCAGAAAGAGAAAAAGGAAGAGAGAUGGAUGAACUGCUAGCGUGGGUAGCAGACAUAGUGAGAGGAGGUGGCGGGCAAGACAACAAAUUGGUCGCAUUUCAGCAUUCAAUCAUGGCUCUCGAUCUAACCGGUUCCACAAAUUUCCCAAAUACACCAAACAUCAAAACCCUAAUCGGCAAAAACUACGACCGCAAGCUAACCCAAUCAAUCCAAAACCUUUUAUCCGAAAUUCCCAAGCAAAGCCCCAAAUGCUCCGACUUUGCUGAGGAAUUCUACGAAAAGAUGCAAGCUCGAGUCGACCCGCAUCUCGAAUCAACCUGGGUCUACGUGGCAUUGGCCUUUCGCAGCUGGAAUCAUCCGAAAGACGACCAUUUGGACCGAGUAUCGACUGCAGAUGACUUGUUUCAGCUGUUGUCGAUGUGCUCUGCUUCUUGCGAUUCUUCCAAGAGUGUCGCGAUGCUUGCUCCGGUGGUUCGCCAGGUGUACAAUGUGGGUGUUGAUUUGUUUAAGAUGGACUUGUCAUGGAAGAGAGAGAAGAAAGUGAUGAGAAAUGUUAGGGAUUUUGUGGGAACGAUUCUUGGCUAUAUAAAUCUGUGUUCCUUCGAAGAUUCGGGCAGUUUGAUUACGCCUUUUUCGGGUUUAAUUCGUGUUUGGAUGAACUCAAAUGAGGGGUUGGAGUCAUUCUUGCCUUUAGUGAGUAGUGACAUUUUUGGAGGGCUUAAUGAGGGAGAAUGUGAAUUACUUAGCUGGAGUUGUUAUGGCGGAGGUGUUUUUGUUGAAACUCUGCUUGGAUUUCAAAUUCGGGACUUCGGGGUAGGAGUUGGAGAAAGAGUUAAGCACUUAGGCUAUCGGUUCCAUUACAACGUUUGGGAAGUGUUACCUUUUCGGAUAUUGCAGCAAAUUGUUUGCUAUGACAGUUCGAAGAUGCUACCAGAAACUCUUCUGGGCAAGCCAAUCUGUGAGCAUAAACGAAAGCUGGGUUUUGAGUUAGCUUCUGAGCCAGAAGCUGAAGCCGACGCAGGAGCAUAACCCAAUCCGAAUAUGCUACCAGAAGGCACGAUACCAGCACAGCAUCACCAUCGUGGCCAACCUGCAGAUUCAAGGGUGCACAUGCAUGACAACUCAGAGACAGAAAUAGAGGGUCAAGAAACAGAAAGAAAAUCAGAAAGAAAAGCAAAAAGCAGAAAAGGAAAAGCCGAAAAGAAGAUGCUAUACUAUUCCACUACUCCACAAUCCCACGGGAUAACAUGAUUAAAGAUAAGAAGAUGCCCACCAAGUUUUCCCGUCUCCACUUUCUGUUAGACCAGAAGAUGCCCAUCAACAUGCUGAAAACAUGUAAUUUAUUUUUCUUAUCUUUCGGAGACAUCUGUAUAAACCCAAUCAGAGGGUAAUAAUAAAAAAAUUAAAAAAAAAAGUAAAGCCCAAAAUAAAUAGGCUGGAAUGUUGUGUGGAGAGUGAAGGCCCAUAAGCCCAAAAUAACACCAACCAGGUGAUCAAAAGUAAGCCCAUUACUCCACAAUUAUUCGGCAAUCUGCUGCUAUUACCACCAACAAGGUGAUGAAAUGUACAACCCGUACUCUAAUAUCAUUUGGCAACUAGCCAUUCAUGCCACCAACUAGGUGAUGAAAUGUAUAACCCGUACUCUCUUCAUGCCACCAACCAGGUGAUCAAAAGUAUGCCCAGUACUCCAAAUUAUACAUGAGCAUUACUCAUGUCAUUCAUACAUAAACAUUCAUGAGCAUCACUCAUGACAAUCAUACGUAAACAUUCAUGACCAUCAUUCAUGUCAACAUUCAUGACCAUCACUCAUGUUAACAUUCAUGAACAUCACUCAUGACAACAUCCAUGAACAUCACUCAUGUCAAUCAACAUAAAUAUUCAUGAGCAUCACUUAUGUCAAUCAGCUUCAAAAGCUUCAUUUACAGAGCUCUAGCUUCAAAAGCUUUAUUUACAAAGCUCUAGCUUCAAAGCUUCACUUGCAAAGCUUCACCUACAAAGCUUCAAUGCAGGAUAUACAAAUACCGCCUUCGAACAACCGCCACUUCGGCCCAUACAUGGAUUCAAUUUGAAGUCUCCAGCCAACGGACUCUAUUGACCGAAGACUUGGGGGACUACAUUAUGUACCAUAUAUUGGGCCUUAACUGGGCCUCAUGAAAAAUACUUGGGGGACUUAGCCCAUUAUUUAUGUAUUAAGGAGCGAGCUCUUAUUCUAUAAAAGGGACCCCCUCACCACCAUUAGAGAGCAACGCCGCCAGUUGAGCAACCGCCUUGCCGCGAGCAUCACUCCUAACCUAUCACUUAUGUAUUGAAGAGCGAGCCCUUAUUCUAUAAAAGGGACUCUCUCACCACCAUUAGAGAGCAUCACCGCCUACUGAGCUAUCACCUCGCCGCGAGCAUCAACUCUAGCCCAUCAUUUAUGUAUUGAGGAGUGAGCCCUUAUUUUAUAAAAGGGACCCCCUCACCUUCAAGCGCCACAAGUCCAGCCAACCAAGGCAACAUAAGCCACAAGCCGAGCAGCCUCGCAACAUGUGCUACUUAUAGUUGAGCAUCAUUUCACUUUGAGCACCGCCUCAUAUCAAGUAUCAGUUCAAGACGACAUCUAGUUACUUCGGCUCACACAUGGACUGAAUUUCAAGUCUCCAGCCAAAAGACUCUCUUGAUUGAAGACUUAUGGGACUACUGUUUAUACCAUACUUAGGGUCUUCGUAUUUAGAUCUCGUACAAAUACUCGGGGGACUUAAAUGUAAUUAUGUAAUAAAGGAAGGGGCAAAUAUGUAAUAAGUGAGGAGCACUUAUUCUAUAAAAGGACUCCUCACCCUCACAAUUGGAAAAUGCCAAUUCCUGGGCCCUCUCACCCCUUCUCAAAGCUCUCACUCUCAAAACUCUCUCUCCCUCAGAAAUACAAUAUCAGUGUGGACGUAACCUAAACCUUAGGGUGAACCACGAUACACCUUGUGUUAUUUACAUUUCUUGCAAAUUCACGGUCGGAUUUACGUUGUUCCAAGACCUCCGGUUUUGUGCAUCAAUAGAAGGGUAAGAAACAAAUUAGUGAAACUCACUAAUUAAAAUGUGGAGAUAUUUAGUACAGAUAAUGUUGUUGGUACUAAAAAUAAUCUUAUCGUUCACUCCUCAUUAAUAUAUUUUUCUUUGUAAAUAUAAAAAAGUUUGGAACAAUGAAAAUUUUGGUAGAAUAUGCCUUGAAAGUUGCUUAAUAGGUUUUGGAAUACUUAUGUUGUUAAAUUCUUGUUUAGUGUAGGAAGGUUUAGCAUGUGUUAUGUCCACUCAAUCAUAAGUAUGACUCGUCUCAAGUCAUUAGUGUUAGACACUAAGACGAACACAUAGGUGUUCAAAUUAUUAAGUUCAUUGAACUACGAUCAACGAAGAGUUUUUAUAUACAUGUCAUAUAAAAACUCAUAACUUGCAAUAAUACAAAAUUGUCAUUUGAUCUGAGACACCACAGUUGUUUUAUGGGUAGGUUUUUGAUCAUUUGACAAUGUAACAAAGAUCAUGCCCCAUCUCAAAAGGCAGGCAGGACAAGGCGGCUACGAUCAAACGACGUAUUAGUAAGUGAGCUUUUGUUUUCAAACUACAUAUCAUGUAUAUGGUUUUCAUAAUUGCUUUUAUGAAUGCUUGUAUAUCAUGCCAUGACUUUUGCUUAGAAAAUGCAAAUAUUACAUACAUUGUUGAUGUUGUGAUUUAUGAGUUUUGAAAAUCCUAUUAUGUCAUGAUCAUACAUACAAUUCUAUCUUCUCAGCGCUCGACUGUGUACGGUCGGAAAGUAACCAGAUCAAGCGCUUAAUUUGACAGUACUUGGGUCCCACUGUAGAUUUCCUUUCACAUUGAUGAUCGACGAGUGGAAUGCAAUUGACGUUUGCACCUGUCUCUUGGAGCUCCAUGGUAGAAAGUUGUUAGGUUUUUCAUUUGGAUGAAGCAGUCGGAAAGUACUUUAAGUGAAAGCUCGGUCCUCAUGGUCGACAUUGAGGAUUGAUAGUUUAUUAGCUUGAGCUGUUGGUGCCAAUGCUCAUCAGCCAUCCUUGACGCACCACUCGGUAAAUAAAAGCUCUUAGGCUGGUCUAUGCGCUUAAUAGCUUGAUAUGUCGACUUUGUAGGUAUUAAUGGGCUUCCUUUGCAAGACCUUGUGUCAACGAUACCUAAGAGCAUUUUCAAAGAAGAUGUCAAAUUUUAAAUAUCAAAAUGAUGUUUGAUGGUUUAUGUGGUAAUUUAAUAUUUUGCACAAUAUUUUACUCUACCCGAUAUGUUAAUAAUUACGUUAUUUAACAAUUUUUUUUAAUCUUUUUGUGGCGUCCAAUAUUGAGGCAACCAAUCAAAUACUUGAAAAACAUAACAACAUUUAUUAUAUUAUAUUAAUCUAUUAAAAAAGUAUUUAAUAAAUUUGACAUUUGCUUUCAAAUUUGAUAGCAAAAGGCUUUGCCUUCAAUUGAUUCAGCGCCACAUAAGAAAUUGAAGGUUCGAUGUUGUACGUCUACAUGGUAGUUUUGACAUUUCUUUAAAAAUGCUCUAAGACUCCUAAUUUAGGAGUAAAUAAAGAAGAAUACUAUUGUAGCGUAAUAUCAAGUAGAGAAAUAGUGUAAUAAAUUAAGAGAAUAAAAAAACAUAGAGAGUGAAGGGAGGCCAAGUGUUGUAAUAAGUGGGAAUAGUCUGGUGUGGUGGCCAAAAUAGUCUUCCCAUUGAAGUAAAGUUAAGUUGAAGUUGGGCACAUUGAGUGAGAAAGUGGCCAACCUCUAUUUCUCUUUCUCUCACUUCCAUCAUCAUGGCAUCAGACACACAAUGACACACACAGACACACAAAUCUAAAGGCUUAUAAAUCCAGCAAAAGGCAGAGGGUGGGAAAGUUGAAAAGUAAAAUCCAUUCUUUCAUACCAGCAAGAACCAGAUUCAAAGUUGGAGAGAGAGAGAGAGAGAGUCAUAAUUCCAUCAUAAACAACUACCGCUAACCAUUCAUUUUGAUUAAUAAUAUAUGUGAAAAAAAAAGAAAAAAGAAAAGCUUUUUGAUGGGGAAAAGAAACAAAGGAGGGGGAGGCUGAGAGACUCUUCCGUCUUCUCGUUGCUUGCUCUUUCUGCGUGUCUGUCUGUCCUUCUGGUUGUAGCAGCAGCUGAUUUGUAAAGGGAUCCGGCCGAGUGCUGUCUUUGGAAGCUUGGUUGGUCGUCUUGGAGGUGGAGGAGGAGAUAUAAGGUACAGAUGCCUUGCUUGAAUCAUUAUCUUACUCUGUCUAAUUAUCUUUAUUAUUUUUUGUCUUGGAGGAGCAGCAGAUGCAUAUAAAAUGGUUCUCAAUUUUAAAUAAUUUAAUUUAAUUAUAUAUAAAAAAAGAGAAUUUAAAAAAAAGAAGGAGAAAAGAGUCUUGCUGUCAGAGCAAUUGUUCUCUUCUGAGUUCUGAGUUCUGACUUGGGAUUUGAUUCUCCUGUGAGUCCUUUCUUCUUGGGAUGUGAUUUCAUGUUUGUAAGAGUAAGAAAAUUGUUUUUUUUUAUUUUUAUUUUUUUGGAUAAAUAAAUAAUAUUAUCUUGAUAUUCUGUUGUUGUUGUUGUUUGGUUUGUGUUUUGGUUGUCUGGUUUUCUUAAUUUAUUGAGUAAAUUAAAUAAGGAACGAUAAUGAUGUCCUUAAUUUCACUUUCAUGGGUGUUUGUACUUUUGUUAAAUCAUAGGAUCUGGAUUAUCAUCUGAUUUGAUUGUUCAUCAAUAAUAUGUGUUUUUUUCUUGUUGUCUGUCUGUCUGCCUUCCUGUACAAGGAUUUCUUUCUUGCUUUCUUCUUCUUCCAUGGAAGUUAACGAUCUUCGAUACAGCAAUGUUGCGCUGCUGAUCAAUCUAGUAAUUGUUUUGGUUUUGAAUCAUUUUUAAUUUAACAAAUUAAUUGAUGCCUGAUGGUUGGUUUGUCUGUCAAUGUCCCCUCCCCCUCCUCCCUCUGAUUAGUGUAUGUGGGUGGGGACAUUAAGCUUAAACAAUCAAAGGGGGACACAUAAUUCAAAUUGAUAUAUAUGUACGUAUAUGCGUGUUUUGUUUAAGCCAGGCUUCUUUUGUUAGUGAUCGAAACAUCGAUCCAAAUUAGAUGUUUUCAUCACUAUGCAAAAAGGUAACUUACUAGCACCUGUAAAUUCUCAAGUGCUCUAUCUUGUUCCUUUCAGGUAGGAACGGUAAUGCUAGGAACAUGGGAAAGAAAGGGAGUUGGUUUUCCGCCAUAAGGAGGGUUUUCUCUCCUCAUUCCAAGGACAAGGACAAGGACAAGGCAGUCAAUGUAAGAGAAUAUGGCCUAUUUCUUUUUCCAAUGGAGUUUUCUUGAUUUAUAUCACAACUUGUUUGAAUGUCUCACAUAGGCAGACUAAUCAAAGGUUGGCCUUUUGUAAUUGUGGUUCUAUUCGGACUACUUUUUCCCAAAUUUCUAACUUUUAAAUAAGUCUAUUCGGGGGCUUGUCUCAGAAACAUGAGUCAGCUGCUAACUGUAAUGAAUGUGCUUGUAGCAUUUGUACUAGCGAGAACUGUGUAUAGAUGGUGUUUAGUAUUUACAAUAUGAUUGUUUUUUUGGCGAUAAAACAAUCAUAAAUUCAUACUGCAGUUUAUACGUUCAAUUCAGUUUAUUGUAUGUCUCCAACAAAAGACGGUUCAACUUUGAUUAGAGUGGUGCACAUUUUUCUUUUAAAUUUGUGUAGUGCAUAAUCAGUUUUUUUUCUGCUUUUCGAGUGCAGAGGUAAAAAACGUGCAAAAUAUUCGCUAACUCAAACUAAAUCUCUUUGUUAAUCAUAUUGCAGGGUUCGGAGAGGAAAAACACAAAAGAAAAGAAGAAGGGGCUUGGGAAACUAAAUCGUGGAGAGACCAAUUCAUUCAUUCCGCUGUUCAGAGAACCAAGCAGCGUUGAGAAAAUUUUUGGGGAUUUUGAGAGGGAGCAACAAAGAGUAACUUUUAGGCCUCCUACACCUGAUGAGCAACCAAAGACCCCACCAUUUGUGCCUCCUAGAGUUGCUUCUCCGAGGGUUGGUUCACCAAGGGCUGCUUCUCCAAGGUCUUCUUCCCCAAGAGCUCCUUCUCCAAGGGCUCUUUCCCCAAGAGCUCCUUCUCCAAGGGCUCUUUCCCCAAGAGCUCCACCUCCAAGAGCUCCCCCUCCUCCAAGAGCUCCUCCUCCAAGAGCUCCUCCUCCAAGAGCUCAAUCUCCUAGCACCUUUCAUCAACAUAAGGAGAUUAGCUACAGACCUGAACCAACUCUAAGGAACCACCAUGCCUCAGCUACUAAAAUUCAGGCAGUCUAUAGAGGUUAUAUGGUAAGCUUACUUUUCACCCGUUAGCAUUCAAGGGUGGGGUGGGAUGUUACGUGUAAUGUGAAAACUGGACUAUACGAAGGUAGAAUUCAAUAUAGGAAAACCUAAUCCCUCUGUUCAGUUCAUCUAAUUGAAAGCUUUCUAGUGGUUCUACUCUUACUGUGGCCACAUAAGACAAUGCAUAGAUAUGCCCUGUCAAAAUAAAUAACUCAAAUUCAGACAUCACUUUUGGAGAACGUUUUAGGUAAAAGGUACUAGACUAACCAAUUUUCCAAAAAUGUAGCCAUUAGUAUAAUAUCACGUGCUAUCUAGAAUCUGGUGUUUUGUGUCCUGACUUUAUAUAUAAAGUUGCAAAUUUUAUGUGCAUAAUUAGUUUUUAGAAGCACAGCUGCAGUUCAAAUGUAAGUGGUGGGCAAAGGGUUUGACCAGCGACCAGAGAUAAGAUUUUGUUUGGUCCGUAUUUAUUUUUCUGGUUUACACAUUAAAACUUUAUUUAAAAGGUACAUUUUCUUCCCGUAGAGGUGUAUUGUAUAACUCUAGAGGUAGAGCGCACAGGAGAAAGAUAAAAAAAGACUUCUGCAUUACUGUGCAGUUGUCAUUCUGUCCAAGAUCAUGCUACAUCGUUCUUGGGAAGGUUUUGGUACCAUGCGGAGUUGUCUUGAGCAAGCAUUUGAUAUGAUCUGGAUCAAGUCUAGGUUUUGUUAACUACAGGUUAUGAACUUCCCGGGAGCCUGUAAUGAACUUAGUCUACUUUUUAUACAGGCAAGAAGAAGCUUUAGAGCUCUAAAGGGUCUAGUGAGGCUUCAAGGAGUAGUAAGAGGCCAGAACGUGAAGCGUCAGACGAUGAAUGCCAUGAAAUACAUGCAACUCUCGGUGCGUGUUCAGUCUCAAAUUCAGUCACGGAGGAUUCAGAUGUUAGAAAACCAAGCACGACAUCAAGUCCAAAACAAGUAUGACAAAGAUGUGGAAAGCACCUUCGGCAAAUGGAACUUGAGCCAGCAAGUAUGUCUCCAUUCAUCUGUUUGUUAUUCCAUGCCUAUCUGUUUCAUUUGGUUCCAAACAUUUAAGCUCAUAGCUAGUGUAGGGGGCCCUAAAACAAUUAUAAGGUUGAUCACUAACAUUACACUCUGCACAUCCACACACUAACACUUCUUCAUUUGUACGUUAAUUUGGUCAAUAAUUUGGGGGAAACAUGGACCUUACGCAUGUAAAUAGAACAUAAAAUUAAUAGAAGCUAUGGUUCCGAUGAACAACAGCUAAGCACUUAGCCGAGUUAAUGGUUAAUGGGCCUUGCAAUAUGUAUCAAGCUGAACACAGCACGAUGCUUAUUGCAUUUAUGUCACUUCAAGGAAAGCUUAAGCUGGUGGAGAAUUGGCCGAAAAUGUAUAGUGAUCUUAUAUUAUGAAACAAGAUCUUUUAGGCCGCAUUAGUUCUCAAAACAGAUUAGAUGAACCAUCUUUUGAUAUGGAAACCUGUAGACUCACAUGAUUAUAACAAUCUAAAAGAAGAUUACUCUACUUUUUGUGCUAAAAAAUGAAAAAUAAACAUAUAAAAACUCCGGUACUAUGUCUGUAAUGUGGUUAAGCACAACAUAUCUAUAAAACAAAGUAGUGCUAACAAUUUCAAGGAUUGUGCUCUAGUCUGAGACGGCCAAUAACGAGGAAUGGGAUGAUAGCUUGCUAACUAAGGAGGAAGUGGAGGCAAGGUUGCAGAAAAAGGUUGAGGCAGUCAUGAAAAGAGAGAGAGCAAUGGCUUACGCAUACUCCAACCAGGUAUUCUUUCUGCACUAGUAGUAGUAACCCAACUGAAUCCACUUUCUAGUCUCAUUUUCUUCAACUGUAUGUUAUUCUGCGUUCACUUUUCUGUCAAUCUUCACUUUUAUGUUAAAGAAAAAAAAAAGAACAUAGUGGCUUAAGGGGUUAAUUGGUUUCUUUUGUGCAGUUUUUAAUGCAAUUGAUAGUUAUCAUAUUUCUUGAUGUUGCCUUGUACUUUUGUGUACCAAAAACAGCUGUGGAAGGCUACUCCUAAAUCAGGUCAAACACCUAUAGCUGAUAUCCGGUCUGGGGGAUUUCCGUGGUGGUGGAACUGGUUGGAACGUCAGAUCCCUCCAGUAGACCCUCCUGUGCCAGCAACCAAUGCAUUGAAAACUUUUCAGUUUACUCCUCCAAGACUAGGAUCAGAGCGAAAGCCAAGCCCCCUGGCCCAGUCAAGCAAUCAAGGGGAACAUCCUUUUCCAUUUGAUAACAAUUUUGACACACCAAAAUCGUCAGCAACAACCAUUAAUCUGACAACAAUAAAACCAGCACGAACCCCGCCUCCUACUAAUAUGAGUAGGACUCCACAAGCAAACAGGUCUGGGCUAUCGAAGUACAGAAGAACACCAGCUGAUGGAGCUGAAUCCCCUUUCGGUUUUCCACUCAAGGAUGAUGCCAGCCUCACAAGCUGCCCCCCAUUUUCGGUUCCAAACUACAUGGCUCCCACGGCAUCAGCCAAAGCGAAAGCACGAGCUAGUAGCAAUCCCAGGGAUAGAUUUGUGGGGACACCGACCAGUGAGUCCAAAAGGAGGCUUUCCUUCCCUUUGACACAAGGUAUUGGGUCUUUCAAGUGGAACAAAGCUUCUUUUUUCUCUAACAACAAGGAUUCCAGCUCUCCAAUGAAUUUAGAUAAGAACCGGUCUUUGCAAUCUAUCGGAAACACGAGCAUAGAUUCCACGGUUUCGAUGCCUGCGGCUCCACGAGCUGGGAGGAAGCCGUUUAAACGAUUUGUGUGAUUCAUUUUCGUAUAUUUUUCGAACUUUUCUUGUACCUGUCAUUCAUUGCGGUGUUGAUUUUGUUUUUGAGUGUACGGUAAUAGACUUGAGAGUUGCAAAACACUGAUGUAAAAUGAUAAAAAGAAGGGAAAUAUGUGUGUCGUGUGUGUAAUAUAUAUGAUGCUUUGGAUUAUUGGAUGUAACACGAUUUGAAUUUUUACAAGUUUCAUGGACAAUUUUAUUCUACUUUUGCAUUUCUUCUACGGCUUUUUUCGGUGCACAUAACGUUCGAUGUACAUAACUGGUGCACAACGUUGCUCGCGUAGUAUUCAAUUCUCGGGUUUUACAAAGCAAAGCGAGAACAGAAAAACCAAAGCGAGCAACAGCAAACGGAACACGAAAACCCGAAGAGCGACCGAGCCUGUCCGGGAUGACACUCACAGAAACUGAACAGAAUUAUUCACAUUUUUGUACAUGUUCGUAGGAAAUAGCCAGAUGUAUACAGAAACAGGGAGAGGAUUAAAUUCUAUUGGAUCAUCAGCUGUACAGAAUGAAAGCAAAUCAAAGUCCCAAUCUCCCGCUAAAAGGAUAUAUAAAUGUUUAAAAGUAAUGUUCACAUGUACAGUUGGGAUUCUUCCAUCACGUCGAUCUGCCUACGCUGCAGGGAUCAGGAAGGAGGCGGGGUAUGAAUGGUGGUGGUACCAGGUAACAUGGCUACUGUCACUACGAAGUAUUCACAGCCAAUAGGGAGACCAUACGGGUUCAAUCCUGAAUUCAAGGCCAAACGGUCGGUUCCCGUGUCAGAUGUUAGCUCGUGCUCAGACCGGGUUGAACUAGGAGCCAUUGGCUUCACAGUCUGCCGUUCGAUGUGCACAAUUUGUCCAACAAUGUAGUUAGGUUGAUUUGGGAGAUGAUCGGUAAACAAGGCUACAGAUUCAGCAGACAGGUAGUAGUUGGAGCAAUUCCGAUUAAUUGCCUCGUACUGCCCAAAUGUGUUUAGAACAAAUGCAGCAAUCUCGUGGACUUCCAAGCGACCGAAAGAUAUCUUCUCUUUGUUUGCCUGCAGCAAAAUUAACCACCUGUUAAUUCAUCAUUUAGCCGGAACAGAAUUCAGGUCACAGUUGAUGCCUAUGUCUCUACUCACUAAACCAUGAGUAGAGAAUAUUACAUUAAACCAUUUUACUUUUUCUUGGUAUCAAGUAACAAAUAUUUCUUUUCGGUUGAACAAAAUAUCCCUCUAUUAUCAAUUACCCGAUUCUCAAGUUAACCCACUAACGCCAUCGUUUGUCCAAAAACAAAAUCAUAAUACCUGCUUCUCGAGUUGAUGCUUUGUGUACAAUGUUUUAACCAGCUCCUUCUUCUCUUCCAAUUCUUUUCUAAGUUGUUCAUUUGCAGCUUCAACCUUUGGAUACUUGUCAAGUAGCUCUUCACGGUGCCUUGACAAGAAGCCAACUCUAUCUGCCAGGACCCGAAUACAUUUCCGAAAUUCAACAGUACCAUCAUCUUCAUUGUCGUUAAUAGAACUGAAACAAUUCAAAGCCCAAAAUCAGAGUCACCUCCCAAUGUCAAUAACUGAUCUAAAAGUAUUCAUUAAAUUAAAGUACCCAUGAAAACUCCCGGAAACAUGGACAUCUUUUCCUCCAUUAUAAUGUUUUCUAGUGUGGGGGUUUCUCCCCAAUGUACUUAUUUCAUUUCUUUUUCACAUUAAAAUGACCUGGUUAUGUACACUUUCAGAAGGAAUGCUAUCAAGGUUGCAUGAGAUAUAGCGUCAGACCUCAUUAGUGAGAAUUUGAGAUAAUAAAAUUUGUUUUAGUUCUUGUCAAAACGAAUAACAGAAUUUGUUCAAAACAGAUCAAAGUAAUUUUAGUGGUGUGGAAAACUUACUUGCCCAGAGAUUGUGCUAAGGUGCGCAAAGAUUCAUUAAAACUAGCCACCCCACCCUGGGCAUAUACACAGCUCCUAAGUCUUUCAAAAAGGCCACGCAUUUUCACAGCAGAUGCGCGCAGUGCACUAUACUCCGAGGCCCUACGAUCAGCCGCACAAAGAUGGGUUUGAGCUUCCUCUCUUGCCUCAUGCAAACAAUUCUCCAAAUGCGCACAAUUCAUCUGGCAUGGGCAAAGCAUGAAAAUAUACAAUCAAAAUAUAGAAGAGCUAAGAAUUAAUAAAACCAAAUAUUUAUAUCCAUGGAAUCAAAUCAAUCCCUCCUACACCCCCAAAAAUUUUGAAAAUUUUCAGAAUAAUCCAUGGCCAUAACAGUACUGUUGCUGUAUCCCACAGUCAACAAAUCAGAAAAGUCAAUGAUACUCCAACGAGUAUCCAAUGUGUUGGACAGUAUCGUAGGGGUGUGGUAUCAAAUACGCACGCUUCCCUAAUUUUCAAGUAUCUGUGCAACAAAGUAUCUACCAUGACAGCAUAAUCCAGCUUUUUUUAAGUAUGUAUUAUGUAUAGAUAAAAAGGGAAGAACUCUAGGGAAAUAAAGUCGACCAUUCUUUGUAAGAAUUGUUCUCAAGGAAACAAAAGCAGGCUAGGGAUCAUAAUUUAGCCUUUUUAAAUACCAACUUCUAUUGAACAGUCAUGUUGAAAAAUAUUCAAAAGAAAAAUAUAAAUCAGGUGAAUUAAGUUCACCGUGACUUCAACAUAAGAGUCAUCUAAGAAACCCCGACUAAAGAAUAUGUGCCACCCACUCGAUGUGAGAGAGAGAGAGAGAGAGAGAGAGAGAGAGAGAGAGAGAGAGAGAGAGAGAGAGAGAGAGAGAGAGAGAAGUAGAGAGAGAAUGCAUUUAUAAAAGAAACAAAGAACAGAACAGCCGGAUGCAUGAGUUAAAAAUUGCUGAGAAAUGAUCUCUUGAAAAGAAAACAUUAAAAAAGGGUUGAGUCAGACCUGAGAUUCAUCAAGGAGUUUCCGAUUUGUGUCCAAUUCCCUCUUAAGCAUAGAAACAUCCUCCAUAGCAGCUUUAAGCUUAAUUUCUGUUUCACUCAACUGGUUUGACUUCUCUGAAAGUGCAGUUUGCAAUUCCAGUAACAGCUCCGCACUGACUUUGGUGUCCAAGCCUGGGUCAACUGCUGUUUCACAUGGUAUAACAUUAAGAGGUUCAGGCAUGCUUUCAGCAGUAGAACUGUUUGUCAGUGACAUGCCCAGCUGCCCCUCCAUCUUAUCUUUCCCAUCUUUACCACUGGCUAGCAGUUCUUCACGCUGUAGCUCUUGCAUGGAUGAAUCCAUUAGAUGAUUUCGUACUGCAGAAGAAUCCAUCAUAUUUUCAUCUACCCCAUCUCUCAUUUUCCCAGGUUGCACAUUGAACAGACCCAGUUUUGCAUCAAAAACACUAGAGACGCAGGAAACCUCAUCCAUGGGAUCAGUAUGAGAUGAGCAAGGCAUAUGGACUCCCCUACCACCUUCUUGCUUGCAGAUAUCAACCUUAUCAGACAAAAUUCCAAAUUCAGAGGCAUCCUUAUCAUUUGAAAUCUUCUGGCUUUGUGAAUACUGAUCAGACAAUCUCUGUUCAAGUUCUUGAAUGCGUUUCUCAUAUGAAAGACACUGCAUCUGCUUCUCCCUGAGCAUAGAUUUUAGAUGCUUUCCAUAUUCAUCUUUCAGGUGCAAGGCUUCAGCUGUCUUCUCUGCGGCAUCCUUCAAUAAAUGAUCCACUUUACUAUCAUCCAAUGAUUCAAAGUCUACUUCAGGCCAGAAUGAACAAAUCACAGCUAUAGCAGACGCCAGUUCUGCUUUCAGUUUUGCAUUCUCAACUUCCAACUUACCAGUUCCAGCAAUCUCUACCAACUCACAGCCUUCAAGUAGCUCCUCAGAGUUGCAAUUCUCAAAGUUAUCCAAUGUACUCUCAUCAGCAUCAACCGAAUGACUUUCAUUAGACAUAGAAUUUGAACCUCUAAACGCACUCUUUGAAGACAGUGCAGUCAAGUACUCAGGUGCAUAACGGUCAAUGUCUGAAAUCUCAAUAUCAAGCAAGCUAGUAUCAAAAGGAGCUAUGUUGACAUCACACUGAUUAGGCGUAUCAUAUAGUCCCAUGGAUGCUAAUACAUCCCUGGGUAUGUAUAAACUGUGAGCUCUCAAAAACUCCUCCCGUCUCCUGACUUCAGUCUCCCUCUUUGUCGCAAGUCUUUCAGCCAACUGUCCAGCCAUCCCCAUGUAAAGCUUCAAUGAAGCCUUUCGUCUGACUAUUUCUGCUAAGCAGGCUCUAUAUGCAGGGCCGAUCCCACGGACCAACUUUAAGUCCAAAAAUAGAUCCUCCUGACGGACCAUUGCCUCUCUAAAAACAGGAAACUGUAAUUUUGCAUCUUUGAUGAUGUAAGAAAUAUAUGUUAUCUUUUGCAUAAAUCUAUGGAGAAAUACAUUCAUUUCAUUCUUUUUAUCCUUGCAGAAGUUGAGGAGCUUGGAAAUUACGCGAUCACAAGCCUGCAUCCUAGGCAGGUGAUUUUUGUCAUGGACAUCAUACAUAGGGCCCAAGGCUGAAACUGCAUCAUGAGGACGAAGUGAGGAAGACAAUUGGCAAGACAAGCAAUCAUCCACGAGUUUCUUGACAGUAUUUACAUCUUUGCUGCAUGAAUUAUAACUGGUUAGUAUAUUUAAAAAUAUUUUAACUAAUUUAGUAUUUCACAGCAGACAAUUGUGCAUCUAAGUGCAGUAGUGAAAUUGAGAGUCGUGAUCCCAAAGACCAUAAUAUUCAGAAAGCUUUAGUAGUCCUGGAGGUUUAUGAUCUGGUAAGCUUCGUAUCUAUUAUGAUAUGCUUCCACUCUAACGGGUGUACGAGUACAUCAAAUGGGUAAAAUCAUUCAACAAAAUACAAGUUCGUGCAUAUACAAACUUCGUAUCUAUUAUGAUAUGCUUCCACUCUAACGGGUGUACGAGUACAUCAAAUGGGUAAAAUCAUUCAACAAAAUACAAGUUCGUGCAUAUACAAAUAAAGAGAAUAGCCACUUCCUGAAUGUUACCAUACUCGAACAAAAGGACAGCCACAAACAAUAAAAAUUGAGUUCUGCUAUUCCCUUCACUUGUCCUAUUUUCCCAACCACAUUAAAAUACAAACAUAUUUGCAAAUUUUUAUCACCUGCAAAAUUUCCAUUCAUAUAAUGCUUUCCCCAACCUCCACAAGAACAAAUUGAGCAGAAAGACCUCUUCAUUGAAAAGAGUCUUUUGCUCAACCCUUUCUUAUCAUUUCAUAAGAUAAACUAGUCAUUAAUCGUUAGAAGGUUUUGAGCUUUGAAGCUAAUGCAUAGCAUUAUAUGAGGAAAAUUGAUCUAGUGAAAAUAUGAGGUAACUUCUGAUGAAAACUCAACCACCUUAUGGCUUCGGAUUUUGAUACCUAAUUGAUGGAGAACAGGAUUGGGAAUUGCUGACAAGGAUGUUUAAUCUUUUAUUCUAGAGUUGCUGACAAGGAUUUUGAUACCUAAAUGAUAGAGAACAGGAUUCGAUUAAGGUCUUUAUAUUACAUCCUUGUAACUCUUUGGAGACAGUUUUGGACGAUUGAAUUAAAAAUUGUUGGAGCUUUGCUUCUCUCUAGGUUUUGUCAUGCAACCUAACCCUCGGUGUGAUGCCUUAGGCCUGUUGGAGUGAUUCCUACAAACCCUACUGGUGUGAUGCUAGUAGUUUCCAUCCUUUUCUCAUAAUUUUCAUUUAUUUCUUUAUGAUUCCCGCUGUACCUUCUUUCUACAAUUCAUAAAGUCAACAACACUCAAAUUAGACAGACAUCCUCCCUUAAUUGAGGUUGUCCUGCAUCACUAACUCAUCUACUUCUACUUCAUUAGGUUAAGCACUUAUCUAGUGGUACUUGUUUGCUUUAAGAGAAAAAUACAAAUGUGAGUAAUUUUAUUUGCCCCCAUAUUUUGCCCCUGGCAUGAGUAUCUACACAAACUCCAUUCAUUUCCUUUCCAUCUCUCCUUAACAGCAUCUCAGUAUACCCAAAAGAUGGGCAUUUGAACUAACCAUAUUAUCUAAUGAUGAUAAUAAAGGCAACAGACAACUUUAAAAGCACCAGAAGUCAAAAAACAACAGGAUGAAUUUGUAUCUCCGUACAAUUCAGUCGAGGAACACUGAAGAGCUUAAGGGUAGCAGACCAGGAGAGUAAACUAAAACAAAGCCUACAACGAACAUAUGAUGCAUACGUGAACAUGAAAGCACACAUACAAACCUCUAAAUUAUAUCUGGAAUCCUGUCUACAAAAUGUUCUUAACAUGAAAUAUGCUGCAAUACUACUCAUGCAACGUAAUUGCUAACAAAAUGAUAAAUUCUAAAAACCGAUGUGGUUUUCAGCUACAACAAAGUUUUAAAAUGAUAAAUGAGCAUUCCUAAGUGAUCUCCAAAUGAUCCAAAAGAAACUUGACAGAGGAAGUUGGAAAGACAAAUAGACGAAAACCAUAUAUCUGAUACUGCAUAACUAUGACCGGAAAAAAAGAAAAGAAAACCAACCUCAAUGAUUGCAUGAUACUCCUUUGCUCAUGAAUAUAUCUUUGGUGCUCCUUAAUCGUGAUUUCCAAAUUCCUAAUAGGCAACGAAGCCCUAUUAGAAAACAAUUCUUCGACUUUCCGCUUUACCUCACUAAACAUCUGUUUAAACUGUGAAACCUUAUUCUCAAACUGCCUGUGGGAACUACUACAAAUUUCUCCCGCUUUCCUCAAGUUCUCUUCCUUCACAAAAUCCAAUAAGCACUUCCGAGUGGCAGUCUCUAAUGCAGGGUGAAGCUUGAUAGAUCUCAGUUUUUCUACAUCCCUCCCAAGAUUGGUCAAAAGAUCAGAAUGACUUCGAUGCUGUUGUGAAUAACGCUUCAUGAAUUCUGUAUAGUUUUGGUUUAUCAUUUUAUAAUAUUGAUCCAAAUUGCCCCUAGCAACCUCCACUGCCCUUUCUUGAACCUUUUGCUCCCUCAAAAGCCUCUCACAGUUCUCAUAUUUUACUUGGGUGCAACUGUAAAUUGCAUGACCCUUGUGGUAGUGGUACCUAAAUUGCCUUUCAUAAGAAGGCAAGGCCUUCAAAGCAGGGUCUGAAACAUCAUCCAAAGGGUGAGGGUCAUGUGAAGCUGAAGGUGAUUGGGGGUCAGCAAUGUCAAGAAUUUCAACUUGCUCGGGCUGAGGGAGUGGAGAAUUAGUCUGCAGUCUUGCUUUAUUGAAUAUAAACACUUCCAGACCAUCAGCUGGAAGCUUAUAUGCCGAAAGCGGCCUCUGUGGCUCAAGCUUCAUAUCCAAACACAAAACAAGCUGGUCAUUGAGAUUAAUCCCAGCCAUGGAUUCAAUAUACAGCAUAACUGCCUCCACCGGUGUGCUGUCUUCACAAUCGAGCUCAAAUGAAUGCCCAUUCUCAGCAACAUGAACCAAAAGCUUGCCCUGAUGAACCAAACCUUCAGCGAUACUCGAACUCAUCUUAUCUCAAACCAAACAACGAUGCUCGACCACAAAGUCCAAAGCAAACAGAAUCAAAUUUCCAGUACCACCUUAUACAUACAAGUACAUGCUAAGUUCCGAACCCAAAAGGUUAAAUCCGAUACCGCUGACCUCCAAGCAAUUGAAUUGAGCGAGCAAACCACUUUUGUAGAAUAACCUGCAAUCAACUGGAAAAUUCCCGAUUUAUAGAUCUUCAGCCUCGACAAAAACCCCAAAUUAUCACAGACCCACCUCCAAAUCUAUAAAAUUUAACCCAAUUCUCAACAACCCACAAAAGAUUAUCGAAGAAAAAAGGGAAGAAGAGCAUGACGUACCACCAAUUCUUGAAAAGCAGCCAAAAUCACAUCAGAAAUUUGUCGAGGGGGGCUCGAUUUCUUCGCGAUUAUCAACCCUCAAGCAAACAUCAACAAAUAUAAUCGAGGACAAAGACCUUCACAACUGAGGAGGAAGAGGAGGAAGCGGAAGAGAGGUAAUCGAAAGAGAUUGGUUACGUGAAAAAAAGAGGCUCACAACAAGGAAAAGGUUUUCACGAAAUCCCUUUCCCUUUCACACACAUAUAUAUAUAUAUAUAUAUAUUAUAUACCAUAGCCACCACUGCACCGUCUACGACUCUUUCUUCUUCAGCAACCUUUUAUCUUUUUAUCUUUUACUUUUUCUUUGGUUUUUUUCCAAAUUGUAAACAAACGCGGAGAAGAGAACCGUUGUGCUGGGAGCGUUAGCUCACAAAAGUAAAAUGGUAAAGUAAGAAUGAUUAAUAUUGGAUUUUAUUUAGCAACUUGUUAUUAACAUUCUUAAAAAUCUUAAUCUAUGUUCUAUCUAUAUUUUUAAUUUAUUUAUUUUACUUCUUUUAAUAUGAUUUCAAAUUUUACCACUAUAUUACUUUUAAUGUUUACAAUCUUGAAAACCUCAUUAAGUAUGAUGACAUAAAUAUGGGUAAAUAUUUAUAGGGAGUUGUAAAGACCUUUUGUGCUCUAGAAGCAAGUAAUCUUUUACUCUUUAAGUUUGAUCAUAUAUGCAAAAGACUUUAGCUCCAUAUAGAAUCGAUGGCUACUUUAUCAAGUCAGCCAUUCCUUUGUCCUCAGACUUUUUUCCUCUUAGUCUGAGCAAAAUUCUUCCUAUUUUUUUGGGUAAUUCAUGGAUAAACAACCAUAUAUGGACUCUAUAACAUCCCACAUCGUCUAAGGGAGUGGAUCCUCUAAGCCUUAUAUGUAUAUUCUCAUCUCUACCUAGUACGAGGCCUUUUGGGAGCUCACUAGCUUCGGGUUCCGUAGAAACUCUGAAGUUAAGCGAGUUCGCGCGAGAGCAUUUCUAGGAUGGGUGACUCACUGGGAAGUUCUCGUGUAAGUUCCUAAAAACAAAACCGUGAGGGCGUGGUCAAGUCCCAAAGCGGAUAAUAUCGUGCUACGGCAGAGUUGAGCCCGAGAUGUGGUGGGGGCUUGGGCCGAAAUGUGACAAUUUGGUAUCAGAGCCAAUCCUUGGUCGGAAGUGUGCCGACAAGGACGUUGGGCCCCUAAGAGGGGUGGAUUGUAACAUCCCACAUCGUCCAGAGGAGUGGAUCCUCUAAGCCUUAUAUGUAUAUUCCUAUCUCUACCUAGUACGAGGCAUUUUGGGAGCUUAUUGGCUUCGAGUUUCGUAGAAACUCUGAAGUUAAGCGAGUUCACGCGAAAGCAUUCCUAGGAUGGGUGACCCACUGGGAAGUUCUCGUGUGAGUUCCCAGAAACAAAACUGUGAGGGCGUGGUCGAGGGGGCGUGGUCGAGUCCCAAAGUGGAUAAUAUCGUGCUAUGGCGGAGUCGAGCCCGGGAUGUGGUGGGGGCCCGGGCCGAGAUGUGACAAUUCUUUAAUGUUGUUAAAGAGUCUUGUGGUUCACCAUUCACUAGGCUUUGAAAGUCAUGGGUUUUAGAAUUGUUUUUUAAUGCAUGCCUACUUUAAAGUGUUAUUAGUUUGCUUAUGUAUUCAAAUGUUCUCACAUGUUCUUAGCUAGGACAAAUUUUGUCCUUCAUCAAUGAACCUACACCCAUUCAACUAUUUUCCAAACUAAAAAUUACAACAACAAAUACAACUACCACCCAAAUCCGAUUAAAAUACUGUAACAUGAAAGGUGGUGGCCUGUGAAGUUUAACUUAUAGUCAAGACUUGCAGGCAAGAGACAUAAUUAUAGAUAGAAAAGAAGGGAGACAUCUGUGACUAAGUGAAAGAAUAUGAAAACUGUUGGUGGAUUAAAUAAACGGGAAAAUACUAGAACUUUGGAAACUAUGUCCUCACAAAAAAGGAAUAAAUUGUUGCUAAUUCACCUACCUUGAAUUCAAGGUGAGCGUAUGGUGCGGGAGGUGAACAUUACGUGAAGGAUUGUGCCCUGGCCACAAGCGGGAGCAUUAACACCGGGGUGCAGGUUUAUGAGCUUUGAAUGCAUCUAAUACAACAUGUGAAGGAAAAUUUUUGUCCUAGCUAAGAACAAGUAUGAACAUUUGAAUACUCAUGCAAGCUAUUAACACUUUAAAGUAGGCAUGCAUUCAAAAACAAUUCAUAAAACCCAUGACUUUCAAAGCCUAGUAUAUGGUGAACCAAUAAACUCUUUAACAACAUUAAAGAUAAGUAAAGAUUUAGAGUUUCUUUACCCUUGAAGCUCAUCCUUGUUUACAUAAGGGAUUCACCCAAGUGGAGGGCCUUCAAGUCACCUCCAAGCUCCUUGAAUCCUCCUUGUGUUUUCCUCCCUUUAGUGCUCCUUUGAAGAUUUGAGGAAAUGAGGAUAUGUUCUCCAAAACACCACAAGUUUGAUGUCUCUAAGUCUCUUCACCAAGGAUGUAUCUUGUGAAGAUGAUAUGGAUGACUUAGGGAAGAAGAGAUUGCUAGAUGUCCCUCCCCUUAGUGGCCGGCCUCUUGGAAGAAAAAGAGAGAAAAUGUUUCACCCAAUUUCAUCAAGAAAACCCUAAAUGAAAAUAAAGCUAUAAAGUUGAAUUUAUACUUCAUUACAAGUGAGUGGCAAACUUGUAAUUAAUCCAAGUUUGCCAUAUUCACCCUAAUGGCCGGCCCUCAUUUGUUAUUGGGCUAAUUUGCCCAUUUUGUUUUAGUUGUCAUACAACUUAAACAUAAUGGGCAUUGUGGACCAAAACGCUUUUGGGCCCCGAAACCCAAAACCAACAUAUAAGCCCAAUACGAACAUUUCGUAUAAUUAAUUAACUAUUUAAUUAAUCUUGACCAUUCUUCAAUUAAACCAUUUAAUUGCUUAUCCAUUUCAUUUAAUUUCCUCACAUACAUCCUUACUCGGUGUACGAUCCAUUAGGUUCCAAUUAGCGAGGUAGUGGGCGAUUGUUACUCUUAACGAUCGAUUGUGAAAUUGAAACCACAUUUCAAUUCUCCCUUAAUGAUUAGUGUUUGCUAAUCAUUUAGGGCUUCCACAAACCAUGAGUGACAUCUAGCAGUAUGUCAUGGUUACCCAAGCUAAGUAGAAUUGGUUGGAGAACCUAUCCAGUUGCAACUAUAAUGCAAUACGGUCAUUCUCUAAUACAAUACUCUUAAUCACAUUGUUUGAGUGAUAGUUUGUUUCAUGUCUACUAUCCAAUGUGAUACAUCUCUAUAUGAUUCCCUUGAAUAUGAUUUGGAACAAACUUCCUAAGUCAUAUUCAUAUGCUUUGGCCAAAGACUUUAGAAUCAUAUCUUAGAGUAUUCUCCUUCCACCAUGGAAGGUUAGAGAUCCCUUGUUGUGCAUUCAUAUGCCUACAUGACUAGAUAGCUUGACCCCAACAAUGCCGUGGACACUCCGAUGGAAUGCCGUUUGACAUGAUCAAAGAUCAAUGACCUAACCAUUAGACAUCUAUGAUGCCUCAGGUCAAAUGACUACUUUGCAUAUUGCAACUUUAGAGUUCAUACAUGACAUGUAUGUUCGAACUCUCUUUUGAUCGUAGUUCAGUGUACUCGAUUACUCUUUCGAGCACCUAUGUGUUUGUCUUAGUGUCUAACACCAAAUGACUUGAGACUAGUCAUACUCACGCUUGAGUCAACAUAACACAUACUAACCUUAGCGGAUUGUCAAUGCCCAAUUGGCAAUCCUAUAGCUAGGAACGUUUUAGGAAUGAACAUAAGAGAAUGGUCUCGAUAAUCUAACUCACUUAGAUCACUUGUCUCUUAGAUCAAAUACAUCCCCUGGAUUCCCUUAUUGCUUAAACACAUGAUACAAUAAAUAGUGAUUAACAAUAAGCUUUGCCCUCCAUUAAACAUAUAAAAGUUUAAUACAUUAAGUAUUCCAAAAAGCUAUUACAUCAAAUGAGUGGCUUUGUGGGCAUACUUCCAACAACAUGUAUGACAAUGCUGGAGUUGCCUACUAUUGCAACCUGUACGACAGUGUCGGAGUUGCUUUAAACAUAAAUGUAGUCAUAUCAUAACCCCAUCAAUUCAACUAAUACCGUAUACUUACUUGAACUUACCUAAACUUACCUGAACUUACCUGUGUGUCCUGCGUUCACCUUUGCACUUCAGAGCGUUCACAAUAAUUAUGUGCAAGGAAUAUAUGUAUGGAUAUGCCAUGAUGAAAUCUAAAACAAAAACAUUUCAUAGUAUUUCCAAUUAUAUAAUACGGUGUACUAACUAUUAAUCACUAAAACAUAAAGUUAAAACACACAUUUUUCACCAAUAUCCCUCACAUUGCUCAAUUCCUUAAACAAGGCUAUUGUCUCGAUUAUAUAAUCUCAUUUCUUAUAUGGCUGCAUCUAACGUCUCGUUAGACUGCCUACGUACCCUAAACAGGGAUCAAGUCAUUCGUAGUUUGCAAUAAUCAUUUAUAUUAAUACGCAUAUGGAUAUAUCACGAUGAAAUCUAAACUCAACCAUCUCAUAGUAUUUUAUAACAUAUAAAUAUAUAUAUGUCAUGGCAUAAAUUUCUCAGUUUUAUUUAAAAGCAUUAUAGAAUUAUCAAUCAUGAAAAAUAUGAUAAGCAAGGAAAGAUCCACUCACUUGGAGUUCGCGCUACAACUUCCUAGCACAAACAUCGAGGUGUCACAAAUGAUUGGUGCCUGUGACCAAUUAUCAAACCAUAUCUCAGAAUUCUCGUUGAUAUAAUACAUAACUUACAUCGCACAUGAGUCUACGUAAUUCGUUCCAGAAGAUCUAGAAAUCAGAUCUCUGAUCCGUAACUUCCAAGGAUCCACAUUAUGCUUCUAGAAUAACAUACUAAAGUUUCGGAACGAUCAAACGGUCGGAUCUCCGCCAAUUGCCAAAACCAAGUUGCGGUUAACAUUUUGUUUUACGAACUUACAAAUCCAAUUCGAGAAGAUUCGUAAUUCGGAUUACCAAUUCGUAAGUUCCUAUAUUCCUCAAAUAUUAUGAAUAAUAACCUAUUAAAGUUUGAUGACGAUCCAACGGUCAGAUCGUUGAUUCAUAUAAUGGCCUAUUAACGUAUCUUAGAGAAUUUUAGUUCUAACGAUCAAUUCUCAAAACUGAAUUCAAUGCAUCAAAUAUAGCCUAAAAAUAGCAUUGGUGGCCCUCUGGCCACGCGCCGCCGUGGGUGGCAGUUGGCUGCCCCGACUCGCCGAAAAAUCAACUAUCUUUAAAAAUUACCAAAAUUUGUAGAUUUGAAUAUCUCAGUGAGUAGAACAACUUUUAUACCUGUGACCAAGGCCAAUUUGGCCUGGAAAGGCUCUAAUUUAAUCAAAACCUGUCGGAACCCUAGAAUUGGGUGUGCUUCGAUUUGACCUCCAAACGUGUUCCGAUGCCUCCACCACUGAUUGGGCUUUGUUCCUGGGUUCUAGGGUAGUCUAGUGGUGGCAGCAAUUUGCUGGAUUACCUUCACAAUCGUCGAAUUUUGUCAUGGCACCCUCAGAACCCACAAUUUCGUUCUACUCGAAUUCAAGCUCAAAUCCUAUAAAAUUUGAUUGGGAAUGGAAGAGGAAAUGACUAGCUAAUGAUUGGGAAUGUUUUCUUGGUCCAAAUUUGUGAGAAAUCCGGUGGAAAACCAAAAGAAAAUAUGGAGAAUUGGACUGGGUGUACACGGGUCAUGGGUUGGGAACUCGUUUGAUGAGAUAUGUGAUGAGUAUGUGAUCAACUAUGUGAUGAGUAUGUGAUGAGCUAGCAUAUGUAAUGAAUAAGAGACGAGCUAGCAUAUGUGAUGGAUAUGUGAUGAGCUAGCAUAUGUAAUGAAUACGUGACGAGCUAGCAUAUAUAAUGAAUAAGAGAUGAGCUAGCAUAUGUAAUGAAUAAGAGAUGAGCUAACAUAUGUGAUGAGUAUGCGAUGAGCUAGCAUAUAUAAUGAAUAAGAGACGAGCUAGCAUAUGUGAUGGACAUGUGAUGAGCUAACAUAUGUAAUGAAUAUGUGACGAGCUAGCAUAUGUAAUGAAUAUGUUAUGAACUAGCAUAUGUGGUGAGAUAUGGGUAAGUUGUAUAGGUCACCUAGGUGACUCUGACUUGCGUACUAGUAUGAGUUAUUAAUCGCAUGAUUAUUUGAUAUUAUUGAUGAAAUGCUAUGUUGUGGUAUAUUAUGAAUUUUCUGGAAACUAUACAGGCGUUGUAGUGAGGGGUUAUAAUGUUUUACAUGGUUUCUAUUAAAAUUUUACUUACAUGGCCACUCACCUUUGUCUUGUCUUCACCCUCCAGGUUUUAUUAGCUGAGCUUUCUUAUCGUCGAAGAUUCGUGGCGAUUCUUAGUAUUGGAGAUUAUAUCGAGGGUACGAUUCUUAAUUCACUCUUCUGUACUUGCUUAUGCUCUAACGUCACGUGUGAAGUGAGUUCAUUCCCGCUUAUCGGUGCACUCUGGUAUUUAGGCACUCUUAGGUUUAAAUUUAUUCACACUCUUCCACAUCAUCACAUUUUAUGGCUUCGUCACCUUCCAGGUGUCGGCCAGCACAGCUCGAUUCGGAGUCCUAGUGGACAUUUCGGGUCGGGGUGUGUCAGACCCGAUACUACAUGAAAGUUUUAACGAAAUCUACAAAUGGUGAAAUGGAAGAAAUGUCAAACUUGAGUGAUCCUUCUAACUCUCUUGUAUCAAAUUUUCAUGGUAUGUCUUCUCAUGACUUUUUUUUUUUCCUUUUAUUUACUGGUUUAAUUAUUUUUAGUAUUAUAGGUGUUUCAUUAUGAGUUUGAACAUAUUUGUAUAUCUCAAUAACAUGAAUUAGAGAUGGAUUAGAAAUGGGGUUUUCCAGUAGACAAAUUUAUUUGUUGGUGCAAUGCAAUUUCAUGAAUAAGUUUUUUUGUUGCUGCCCUUUGAAUGCUUGUUUUUUUAUCCCUGAUUUGCCUUCAUGUGAUGAGUUCUACCCCCUUAUCAAUUGACUUCUUAUUCAACCAACUUCUUUUGUUUUAUUAACUAGUAUGAUAGCUUCAAUUGUUAGUAAGUUACUGUAUAUUAUGUUGAAAUGAAUGGUUCACAUGCUAUAAAACUAAGUUUAUUUUUAUCUAGGGAGUCAAGUAGAGAUCAUUGAACAUGACACAAUGCUCUCUUUGACUAAAAAGAACUUUCAAAGUCGGGAAGACCUCCUUGGUAUUGUUCGUGAAAUUGCAUUAAAGCAAGGGUAUGCAACUGUUAUUUGGAGAUCGAAGGCUAAUAAAUAUGUUAUUAUUGGUUGUGAUAGAGGUGGUAAUUAUCGAAAUACCAAUCUUUUGUUAAAGGAAAAGAAAAGGAUAACAACAUCUGGAUUGAUAAAUUGUCAUUUUGAAAUUUAGGGAAAGAAGAAACAAGAAGGAUUUUGGAAGGUGGACAUACAAAAUUUGUCACAUAACCUUGAUCCUUCAGCUGACAUGUCUGGGCAUCCCUAUUAUCGUCUGUUUUCAAAAGACGAAAUCUUGCACAUUAAACAAAUGAUUAUGGGUGGUAUACCACCUCGCCAUAUUCUUUCUUCACUCCGUCAAAGUAAUCCUAAUCUUCAAGCAAUUUCUCAAAAUGUCUAUAAUGAAAGGUAUAAGAUUAUGAAGCAGAGUUUAGGAGGAUGUACGGUUGUUCAAGCCUUGUUAGACGAACUUGGUCAAGGUGGUUUCACUUAUAACAUUAAGUAUGAUUAGAAUGGUCAUUGGACUUAUUUGUUCUUUGCCCAUCCCAUUCCAAUUGCAUUGACUAAGAGCUACUCAUAUGUUUUUGUGAUGGAUUGCACCUAUAAGACUAAUAAGUACAAGAUGCCAUUGUUGGAUAUCAUUGGGAUCUCAAAUUUCAACACAUCAUUUUAUUCUUGUUUUGCCUUCAUGCAAAAUGAGGGGGAAGAAGAUUAUGUAUGGGCGCUAUCAAUGUUUAUUAAACUGCUGGGAAUUGAUAAUCAUCCAGUGGCGAUUAUAAUAGAUAGGGAAUUGGCAUUGAAAAAAGAAAGUACCAAAAGGCAACUAACCCAAUUUCCUUGUGCUUCUCUUCCUUUACUUCUUGAGCCUAUUAUUCAAGCUCAUAAAGGUCGUCCAUCAAAGUCAAAGAGAGAAAGGAAUCUAACUCCAUGCAGCGUGAGCCUUCAUCGAUUGAGAUAGUUGAAUACUCCCGAAAAUGUAGCAUUUGUAACAGUGUUAGCCACAACUGUCAGACCUGCGAACUCAAUUAGAGAGCUGCAUGAUUUAUGUGGUAUGAUUGCAGAUUUUGAAUAGAGACAUACUUGUAAGUUCUCUUUUAUAAUUAGUCUUUAAAUCACAUUCAUCUUGGUUGGGACUUGAAAUUCAUUUGUGUUUCCCUCAACUGAAAUUUCUCUUGUAUGUGUAAUAACUAAUGUCUGCAAAUAACUACACCUUUUAUCAUUAGUAUUUUAAUGUGAGUUUGAAUAUAUAUGACGUAUUUAUAUAUGUUAUCUAACUGUUUUGGUAUAUUUUAUUAUGAUAUACAGGUUAUGUGACACACUCCGACCCGGAAUGUCCACAUGGACUCUGAAUCGAGCGGUGAUAGGAGGGUGACAAAGCCAUAAAGUGUAGUGAUGUGGAAAAUGUGAAUAAAUUUAAACCUAAAAGUGCCUAAAUAUAAGAGUGUGCUUCUGAGCGGGAAUGAACCCAUUUCACACGUGAUGUCAGAGCAGCAUAAGUAAAGUACAAUAAAUUAUGAUGAGAAUUAUACCAUCGAAGGUAACCACCCAUACCAAGAUUUGCCAAGAAUUCUCGUCGACACGAAAGCUCAGCACUAUAACCUGGAGGGGCGAAAAACAAGGGCGAGUGGGCCUAAAAAUAAAGCUUUGUAAAAACCUUUUCGAAAACAUAAUAACCGCUAGCCGUAAAACAUGUCUAGUUUCCAAAAUAUACAUACUACGUAUAGUAAGAAAAUACUUACUGUAACCUGCAAUAUCUCAAGAAUUCAAUACGUCAUAAUAUUUCGUAAAUAAACACAUGACGUUCGUAAUCACAUAAUCUUCUACAAGGAAACAUAUCAUAUCGAGUGCUCAUCGACACAUGCUGACACACAAGUUCAUGCAGAGAUAUUCUAACAUGAACAUGACUAGGUGUAACAAUGAUAUACGCUCUAGUACUACAAUCACGUGAAGACUGCCUAUACGAGCAUCAUAUACGAGUCUAAUUGCCUAUAGCAAUCUAGGACAGGACUGACAACUAUAAUGGAUCCAAAGUGAGCGUAAGGUGCGAUGUGAACAUACACGUGAAAGAUUGGCCCUGGCCCGGGCGAGUGCUAACACUAGUGCAACAAACGAUGAACAUAUAACAUAAAUAUAGUCAUCCCACAGUGAUUUGAUAAUUCUAGUCAAGAUAAUAUUAUUCAUAGCCGUAAAUUUAAUUAAGGCAUCCCGUAAGAUUUAUAAUGAUUUUCUAAUUCUCAUCGUUACGUCAUUUUUCUAUAAAUGUUAAUUUAAUUACGACAAUUAUAUAGAAAAUUCAUUAUUAGAUGUAUAUAUGGAAACUAAACAAAUAUAUGUAUAUAUCAAAAAAAAUACCCACUCACAAUUCAUGUCGUCGAGUCAAACUCGUCUCACGGGCAUCGAAGAUCCUUGCGAUGCGUUUCACCUAGAAACGAGACCAUUUAUGUAAAUAUAUAACGUACUAACGUAUAAACUCGUUUUCGUACAAAGUACGACUAAUAAAGAAACUAUUUUAAAAAGGUCCAAUUUUGGAAAACGGAGGGCGAAUUCAAAUUCAGCACGUCGAGAAACCUAAGGAAGGACCUCGAGUUUCUCCACGCACCGCCACAAGGUGGUUGCACUGGUAGCCACACGCCGCACAUGCCACCACUAUGUGGCUUCCUACGCGCGCCCACACGCCUACGGGUGUGGCUGUACUCGCCUCCUACACAAAACCUGCAGUUUUUGUAGGUUGCAAGCCUAACUUUCAGAGCUCUAAACAAGCUCAUUUCUUAACCAAAAUCCGUGAAACAAAGGGAAAAAUAAAAAAUCACAUUAAAAGAAUUAAAAAAGAUAAAUCAGAAAUAUAGAAGGAGUGUGGAUUGAGAUUUUUUUUUUUUAACCAAGUGGAUUGAGAUUUUGGAAGUGUCAAUAUCAGCUCCCUUAUUUAUUUAUUAAAAUGACUAAUAUACUUUUUUUUUUUUUUUAAGAAAUGACUAAUGUUCAUGCACAAAAUCGACUCCUUAUAUUAAAAGGACAUUGUUUACAACUGUCUUAUUAUUAUUUAUAUGCUUAAAUAAUAAAGUUUAAAGAAUAUUUCUCUUCACUUGUAAGUGAGAGGUUUUAGGUUUGAUUUUCGACAAAGGCAAAUUUAAACCACAUUAUUGCUAGCCCAUUGUGAGGCUAAGCCCAUUCAUCUCCCCCUUAGUGUAGAUAAUAUCACUUGUUAAAAAAUAAAAAAGAAUAUGCAAUAGAGAGACUGUAAUUUAAACAAGUUAGAAUUCAAAAGAUUUUUUUCUCUCUAGUAUAGUUAUCCUAAAUGUUUCUGAUGGAUUACCAAUUGGGCAUUGACAAUCCGCUAAGAUUAGUACAUACUAUGCCUUUUGACUUUGGAGAAUCACUAGUCUCGGGUCAUUAGUGUGAAAUACACCAAGACAAGUAUGUAGGUGCUUAAUAGAGAGUGAGUUCACUAAAAGCAAUCAAAGAUGAGUUCUUAUAUUGAAGUCACUACUGGCAAGUCAAAUAAGGAACUCUAAAGUUGCACAAAUGCAAUCAAUCUUCAUACCUCUAAGACAUCACAAUUGUCUUAUGGAGAUGUUUUGUUUAUUUAACAAUGCGUCAUACCCUUGGGUUUGUUAUGUGCAUUAUUGGGGUCUUAGACUUAUUCGUAGAGGUGUGUGAGUGUAUAACAAGGAAUAUCAACCUUUGAUAAAGAAGGAGAAUCCUCUUAAAUGUGAUUCAACAAAUUUUUGAGUAUAGUAUUGAAUGUAAUUAAGAGCGAGACGUAAAUUAUAUUCAUUUGAAUCAUAUAAACUUAGGAAUCUACAUUAGGGGCUUGACAUAAACUUCAUGCUCUAAUAAUGCACAGAUGGUUAGAGCAAUUUGUUGAGUUUCUAGGCAUAUGAUUGGGAUUAAUUUAUUCUAAUAAUUAAACAAAUCAAAAAUUAAGUAAACAAUGAUAAACUACCAAUGGAUGAUGGAGUGAUUGAAUUAAAUGUGCUAGCAAUAUCUCUCACUUGGAUCAUUUUGGGUGGCACACAUGGUGUGUUUUGACUUAGGGUUUUCUCUCUUUCAUCUGAGGGAUACAAUUGAUUGUUGGGAACUUUAAUGAAAAACUCUCGGUACUGUUCACUUUAACGAAAAACCACAUUUUUACACUAAAAAGUCAAUCUUGAUACAAUUCACUUUACCCUUUAUUUUAUCCUUAUUGUUAAAACUCAAAAUUUUCAAGCCAUUCAUUAGUUUUACUAUGAUUGUUUUGGACAUAUAUAAGAGAAACACAAGGGUAUACAUAGACGACCAUAGCUGCACCUUUAGUGUUUUGACGCCAUAGGCUUAGUCACAUGGUAAAGCUCGAUUCACUUGCCAUGUUGGGCUUGUGACUUAAACCCGUUCUAAUUAAAUAAAACUCAUACCUUAUUUUAUUUAAAAUCAUGUCCAAUAGGCUUAAAUAAUUAAUCUAAUAUAAUUAAUAAUAAAUUAUAUCUUAACAUCAUGCAAAUAAAGUUACUAGAACUAUCAUUUUCACACCUCUUAGGUUCUAACUAAAGCUGGAAGUGAAAUUAAUAAAUUAAUUUAAUUCCACAAUACAUGAAUGACACCUAGCAACAUUUUAUAACUACCCUGACUAGUAGAAGUAUCGUGAUACAAAUAUCUAUGAAAUAAUGCCGAAUAACAUACAAAUAUCUAUGAUCACCAUGAUGCAUUUGUGAACACGGGAAUUCCUGCGAUGAAGGAGACAAGAACACGUGUACAAAAUAAUAUUUGUAUUAAUGAUUUAAGGGUUACAAUCUCUUCUACAAAUUUAGCCUCUGAUUCGAUCUUCGUAAUGUGUAAAUUUGUGGAUUGUGUUGUUGAUCCAAGGGCCGUCGGGGCUUAAUCCUGGAUGAACGGUUGAUGAAUGAUGAACACUUUCUUCAAGGGCCGUCGAGGCUUGAUCCUAGAUGAACGAUUGAUGAAUGAUGAACACUUUCUUCAAGGGCCGUUGGGGCUUGAUCUUGAAUUUGUGGAAGUUCUUCAAGGGCCGUUGGGGCUUGAUCUUGAAGGAGGGCUUCACAAAGAACGAAGAGGGCUUUCUUGAUCCAUCGGGAUUUGCUUGAGAGUAGAGAAAAUGUAUGUCAAUUUCCUCCCCUUUCUCUUUUGAUGGAGAGGCCUAUUUAUAGGCUUUGAGAAUGAAUUACCACCAUCAUUUUGCUUUGAUGGAUGUUGUAGGUGGAUUGGGUGGAUUGUUGUAGGUGAAUUGGGUGGAUUGUUGUCAUUUUAAUGCAAUGGUCAACAUUUAUUUUACCGAAAUUUCAAUGUCUACAAAUGUAAUGCAAUGGCCAACGUUUAUUUCACCUAAAGUUCAAUGUCUACAAAUGCCCCCACUUCAAGGCGCAUUGUAUACAUGUGUGUGUCACGUGUAGAAGAUGCGUUUUGAAGUCUCUUAAUGUAGAUGUCGAUCUAAGGGCCGUUGAGGCUUAAUCUUGAAUUGGGCUUGGAGUUUCUUCAAGUGCCGUUGAGGCUUGUUCUUGAAUUUUGUUUGAAAUUUCUUCAAGGGCUGUUGAGGCUUGAUCUUGGAUGAAAUUUGGACCACAAGGAGCUUCAUGUGGUAGAUGAUCUUUGGCUUUGGUAAUGGAUGAAUCGGCACGUAUUUUGUUGCGCUUGUUGACUUUCCACAACUUUGAUCUUGAACUAGGUUGAAUGGUUUUCUAGCUUCCUUUAGAGGUUCGAACUUACUCAUUUUAUCUGGAGUUGAUUUUGAUUCAAGGGUGGUGGACAUUUGAUUUUGAAUCGAACUUGUGAUUUCUACAAGGGCCGUUGAGGCUUGAUCUUAAACUUAAACAUGACCACGAGCAGUUUCAGGAUUUGGACACAUGGUAGGUAGGCACGAGAUGGAGGUGAUGGUCUAUUUCUUUGUUCAAUCUUUCUAAUUCAUAUUGAAGAAGGUCAGGGGAUAAGGUCAGAUGUUGCAAAAAAAUUGUUUUGAAAGAUCAAGGAAGUUCGCAGCAUUUUCAUAUGAACCCUGAGCAGUUUGGUUAACAGUAUAAUCUUCAAGGGUUAUCGAGACUUUGCUCUUCGGCGACAAUACCAGUGAAAGGCUGUUGAAGCUUCUCGAGCUCUUUGAUUAUAUCAACGAUGGCGGGCUUGGAUUUGACUUAGACUUCUCCGUCUGGAUUAUGCAGUUCUACCGAGAAAGGUGUCCUGUUAUAAUGAUUUGUCCCAACUCAUCGUUCUGCAUUCUUCUCUGCUUGUUUCUUUUGCGUAGCAGAAGUGGUGGGCAACUUUUUGCCUUUAAAUGGUCUUUCAGAGCAUCACUUCUCGGCGACACAUCCAUGCUUAGCAGCUUCAGUGUAAAGAGCCAACAUCAUAUCAACUAUCCUGAAAUAUUUACUGAGGAAGUUCAAGACCCGUCAAUAGUUGGAGAUGAGCACUCGAGAGCAGUGCUAGGUAAGUAACUAGGCAAAGGUUCCGAGCAAUCAGUUCCCGAUCGGAAGUUUAAUUUCAGGUUCCGACUGAUUGCUUUCUUUCUCAUUGUUCUGCAGGCAAGAGCAAGGGUAAAUGAAAUGAUAGGGGAAAAUCAUGAUAUGAGAUACCUUUGCUUUCGACCCUGAUGAUAUGAGAUACUUUUGCUUUUGAAGAAGUAGCGGAUGAUCAGCACAUGUAUUUAUUGCGUUUGUCUCCAUAUGCUUUGAUGCAUCAUUUUCACUUGCCUCAUAUGUUCUCUAAGCAUCUGAUAUCUUCUUCGGCAGUGCAUCAACAAUUGAAGAUGAGUGCUGGAGAAUAGUGCUAGGCGAGCAAUCAGGGAAGGGAUUCCAGGCAGUCGGUUCCAAAUCAGAAGACUGAUUCCAAGUGCCGACUGAUCGCUCUCUUUCUCCUUGCCUUGUAGAGAAGAACGAUGACAAAGAAAAGGAUAGGGAGGAAGCGUGCUAUGGGAUACUCUUGCUUUCAACCCUAGUGAUUUGAGAUACCUUUGCUCUGGUAUGACUUGGUUGAAGAGGUGUUUCCAGAGAGAAAGAAAACUGAGUAUGUUGAAGGGUUUGGUUGCAGAUGCAUUUGGCGAAGAAUAAGAGUCAGACGUUCUGGAUGUGUGCCUUGCCAUAGAGGAUGGAGGUCAAACUAUAUAGUGAUUUCCCAAUAGCAAGUGGUAGUGCGGAUGCGGCCUUGUCAGCCAUGCUUGUUGGCCAAAAGUGUGGUAGUUGGAAUAAUGAACUUCGCACGUUUUCAACUCUGUCAGUGAUCUUUGACAAAGUUGCAUGUGAUAGCUGAAAGUUGAGAUUGCGUCUGAAAAGUGUUGACGGACUUUACGCAGGAAAAUCCGGCUUUUGAAAUUCGAAGAGUGGUAUCUCUUUGAUUUUUUGAACAAGUGGUUGUGUUGCCUCUCCUUUUAAAGAGGUGUCAAUCGUAUUCAACAUGCACACUUUCAAGAUUGCCCAUCCUUGAAAAUAGUCUUUGCUGUAUUUAUGAGAUUUUACUCCAUCCAACCCUUUUCUUUUCCCAUUUUUUUUGGAAAUGGCAUACCUGUAUAACAUUUGCUUAGAUUUGAGUCUCGGGAGUGAUACAGGUGCGCAGCGUCAGGGUAAUAUAUGGCGCCCGUCCUUCUUUUCUUCCAAUAGCCCUCUUAUAGUUGAAGACUUUGUGAUGAGGGAUGCAACAACGGCUACAGUUGUAGCUAGGAAGCUUCUCACUCCUAGAGAUAAUAGGGUACUUUCAAGGCGGUUCGAUGAGUUCGCUGUUCAAGACUCCCAGGCUCUCAGUGUUCAGUGUGCAGGCUCUGUGUCCAACAUGGGCCAGCGCCUACUUGCUCGAACUCGCCAAGUUAAAUCAUUGAUGGCCGAGGUGGAAAGCCUUGGAUGAGAGAUCAAACGUCUCAAGAGCAAGAAUCGAGAGUUGCGCAUGCUUGCAAAUGAUUAUUCGACGAGCAUGAAGAGAAAGCUUGCAGGCAUCUGAAGGUCGGAUUCAAAGCGACCAUUAGAAGUUUGUGGCUUUCUUCCAAAGGCACCUUUUGCCUUCGCUUUCUGGCAUUCGACCAAGCAUUGAGGCGCCACAUGAUCAAUCUUUAGUGUCUUCUUCUUCUAGGGUUCUGCCGAGUGCUGAGGCUUCACGUGAGCAACCUUUGUGAAGUCUCCGUCUUUUCUCUUUUGUUUUUCUUUUCCCCUUUUUUAUUUUUUAUUUAUUAUUAUUAUUAUUAUUAUUAUUAUUAUUAUUAUUAUUAUUAUUAUUUACGCACUUGUAAUUUCUUAGAGAUAUCAAUGGACAUGCUUUAUUUUUUUCAGUGCAUUGUGCUAAGUACAAAUAAAAUGUAUAUCUGACUAAGAUGUGUUACUUCCCUCUUCUUUCCUUUUUUUUUUGUUAUUAUUAUUUUUUAGAUGGUGUCUGAUGCACCAUCAUCCCCAUUUUUUUUGUUUCUAUCUUUCAAUGAUUUUGUCGCCACCACCUUUUUCCUUUUUCCUUCUUGACUUGCUAAUAGUAGUAUACACUUGUGAGUGGCUUGACGAUAGCAAUUGGCAUAGGAUAUCAUUCUUCUUUAGAAAAAUGUGAGCUCACCUUAAAAUUGGCAUGCGGGAAAUUAUGUCAGAUGUGUUAAUGGGUUGCUUUUGAACAUGUGCCUUUAUCCUGCUGCUUAAUCCCACCUAGAACCUUUCUCAUGGUGCCGUGCAUCAUCCCUGAAAUCUUCAUAUAUAUUUUUUUGUUUUUGUCAGCCAACACCUUCCCUUUUUUGUUCUAUAUAUACCCUCUACAUGGUACAUGGAGAAAUGCAGAGGAGCUUGGAGUUGGAUGAAGAACUUGGUGCUUUCGAAUCUGAGCAGCUCUUUGGCCGAUUCUAGAGCUCCCAUUGAACGAAAGCAAGACCUUCAAAGUGUCCUAAAAAACUUCUUCCUCACUGCUGUGGAGGAAGGCUGAGCGUUGCAUACUGCAAAAGAUGAGUCUUGGUGCAGUGAGAGGCUAUGACGAAGAGGUAUUUGGGUGUGAGUUGACAAACUUUGGUUUUGUCAAUCACAUUCAAAGGCAUCAGUCAUGGCAGAGAGCUGGAGCUUGCGUCGAGCUUUAUAACUGGCUAGUCGUUUGACGGCGGUCAUUAAGGUUGUUGGCAAUUGCGAUGAGGCUUGUAGAGCAGGAAAAUGUAGCUGGCGUCGUUUGUGCCUUUGAUGACAGUUCUGGCACAGAGGUUGGUGUCCACAAUCAGCAGCACAGUAGAUGAGGAAGUCGGCAACAAUUGGGUGGCCAUGGAUUCGUGGAGCACGCAGGAGGAAGGCGAUGGCUGAGGCCGUUGCUGUAGAGACGGCAAUGAUGGUUACCGUUGCGAUCGGGGGAGGUGUUGACGUGGCUGGGCAACGUUAUUGUAGGGUUUGGAGCUUGUACAUGUGUAACUCCCAUGACAUUCUUAACUUGAAUCAGGCUGUUGUCUUGUUUGUUAGAGACGAACAGUUUGACAGAGAAGUGGAGGAGGUUGCGGUGUUUCUGGGCUGCCAUCGAUUGAAGCGCUUGAGGCUGCGGGUCAAGUACAGGUCGAAAAUGUGGUGGGGUUCUCGGGUUGUCAGCGAAUCUCUGAAAAUCGGGUCUUGAGUGAUUUGGGUAGGCUCGAUCCUAGCAGCCGGUGCAGCGGCAUCAUAGAAUGCCCCGCCACUGCCUUCUUCACCCAUUUGGUGCAGAGUACCAGCCGUCCAUACGCCUUUAUCAUUGAUUUGAGAGUUUCGAGGCUUCGAAUCCGACGGUGGAGGUGAAAUCUCGUCCCGGCUCAGUCCUAAAUCUAAAUCUCCUUUUGUUGAUUUUGACCUUGACCUUGACCUUUCUCGUCGUGCUCUGCGUCGUUGAUGCCGUUUUUCAUCAGUCUGAGUUAACACGUCGACGAUGGCUUUACCAGUGGACUCACCGACCGACUCAGUCUUGUACACUUUGCACUCAUUCAAUUUGAUCGAGCUCUAUGAUUGGUUUCAUCGACGCGAAAUCAUAGGAGAGUUAAAAUAGUCGUCGGACUUCAACGCCUCUGGCGGUGAGCUUAGGGACCUUGACGAUGCUGUCUCGAGAGCCAGAUGGUUUAACGACGGGUCAAGAAGAAUCAUAAUCAGAUUUCUGCCGUGCAUAAUGUCGCUGGAAAUCAUCUCACGAAGUGGAAUCUCUGGUCGAGCAUGCAUUUCUCAAAAGAACGAAGAUCAGUGAGUGAAUUAUUUGGGUGGACAAGAGAGGCCCGUUGUGGUAUUUGAGAAGCUAAGAGGUAAUAGAGUCGUCGCGGUCGAAGGAGAAGACGAAUUAAUCACAUGAGAAUGCAAGAGAGAGAGAGAAAGAGAGAAAGAGAGACUGAUGCUUCUGGGUCUUGCCUUUGAAGAUUUUGGCGUCGAGAAGCAGCGGAGGGAAGACAAGGAAGGCGACGAGGAGAGAGACGCCUGCGGCCACUCCAACUGCAUUGCGAGUUCUGAUCAAACUGGGGUACUUAGCCAGGAGCUUGAAGGUGCUUGACAUUUGCAAUGCUGCUCGUGAUGGGCCAUCGACGAAAGGGACUCUGAGCCAUCGGUGGAUUUGGAACUUGAAAUGCUUGGUGAGAGAGACUUUAGGCCAUCCACGCUAACACCUAGCUCCACAGCUACAAACCUCAGGCCUCUUCCAGGCCCAUUAUCAGCAUGCAUACAUACAUAUUUUUUUUUCGAAGAAACUUUAAUUUUGUACAAAGGAAAUUGCAAAUUUUUUAUUUUAAUUUUUUAUUUUUUUAUGCACAAUGUGUGUGUCCCUACUGAUGGAUUUCUUUGUUUGUAAUGUCAGGAAUCUUUAAUCUUGAGAAGGCAGAGCAUGAUGCCAGGACCUUUAUGAAGCUUCUAGAGGUGUAGUAUUUAGAGUGAGCAGGAUGUGGGCGCAUCUAUGCUCUUUGCUGCCUAGUGCUUGUGCAAGAGACUACAACGGGGUUUCGCUGUGUAGUGCCUUUUGAUCAUAGUUUUCCCUUAGUGGUGCGCUGUUGUGUAAUGUUGUGCAAAAGACUGCAGCGAGGCUUCGCUGUGAAAUAUAUUUUGGUCACAGUUUUUUUUCUUUGGUGGUGACGUCGUCGUGCGGUGCAAGAAACUGCUUGCGUAGUCGCUGCGGGGUUGCGUAAUGCCAUUGCGUGGCAUUUUGGUUUCUUCGCUACUAUAUUGCUCUUUGAAGGACUGUCUUAUGGCUGCCCUCUUUGCCACUGCUGCUGGGAGCCUGUUCCAGUGCGUCACCUUUACCGCGUGGGGUUGUGCAAAAGACUGCAGCGAGUUUAUGCUGUGUAGUGCCUUUUGGUCACAACUUUCCUCGACGGGGACGUUACCGUGCACAUUAACCUUGCUACUUGCCAUGGGCUCUUUGCCGUUGCUGCUUGGAGCUUGUUCCAGUGCAUCGCUUUUAUUGUGUGGGGUUGUCCAAAAGACUGCAACGAGUUUAUGCUGUGUAGUGCCUCUUGGUCAUAACUUUCCUCGGUGGUGACAUUGGAGUAAUGCUCACCUUUGUAUACGGCUUUGUAACCAAAUCAUUCCUUUAAAGAAAUAAAGUAUUCAUAUUCUGAACUUGCUUUUUAUUCUUCAAAGUGUUUGUGUUUUUGUUGGUGAUGUGACUGUACUUGAAGUUUUUAAGUUUCAAGUUGCUUAUGUACCCUCGGUUGAAGAGGGAUCAAGUCAUGACGUAGUUCAAAUGGGUGAUGGAUUUUUUUAUUAUUUAUUUUGAGGAUGAUUUUGAUGAUGAUUUUUUCGUACAUAAUUUAUGCUCUUGCGGCCAGGAGCUUUGGUUCGUGCAGUUUAGGCUCGUGCGAAUAAUGAGCAUUUUGGUUGCCGUAUUGCAGUUUUAGCUCAUGCAGGCAAGGAGCUUUGGUGUUUGUUAAGCGAUCUGGGAGAGUCGUUCCUCGCAAUCUUCAUAGCAAGGAGCCUUGACUGAGUAGCUGAAUAAUUUUCUGAGGAAGAAAAGAUAGCGCAUGGUCGAUCUUUGUGUCGAAAUUUCUUUAUCUUCAACAUUUUCAUGUCGCUUUGGAUGUUGGUGAAAGCUGCUUUGCCCCCUUUCCGAUUGGGGUGCUUGUGGAGAAGACAUAUGCUUCUUGUGCAGUUUCUUUGGAGUGACAUGAGUCCAUACUUCAACUUUACUCGGCUUGACUGACAUGGUUUUGGAGCAUGCCCCUAACAAUUGAGGUGAAGAUUUUAAGUUGAUAGAGCCAGAAGUGACGUCUUCUUUCGGGAUCUCGUCUUCUUUGUCUUCUUGGGCCUCCUCUUCAGUGUCGUCCUCUUGGGUGUGUUGGUGUAAAGAUUGGUCAGUGUUGAUGAUGGUGCGUCUUCUUACUUUCAGUGGUCCAUUUGUGUCAACCUCCAAGAUUGCUUGGCACUUCAUCCUUGAAGGAAUUGAGCUUCGAAUAUCACAUUUUUCUACUAGCAUGUCGAGCUUUUCUUCCUUUGACGUUGUCUCCCUAUUUCUAGAAAGCUUCUUGUUGUCUUCAAAUCUUUCCAAAGUUGAUCGACGAGGAGGAUAGCUAGCCGUGUUGCUUUGUUUUUUAGGUUUUGACAACUUUUCAAAAACAGAGCUUUGGGAUGUUGGCAUGUUAAGCCUCUUGAAGACGGAGGUUCGGUUUUGACCACCAAUACGAUUAAGUGCUGACGUUCUGGGCCUUGAACGAUUCAUCCUAUCGAAGAUUGACAUCCAAAUGGUGGAUUUAGGCUCAUCUUGAUCUUGUUCAAUGCUCACACUGAUGUGUUGAGUGCUAGCAUUUUUCGCUUUGUUUGAAAUCUUCAUAGGUGCAUUUGGUGUGAAGCCAAGUCCAGCUUUGUUGUUGUCAACUCCGUAACCAUGCUUCUUUAACUUCUUUUGAGUCUCGAUGAGGUCACGUUCUUUAUUGAUGAUGGUGUUUGAAACCUUCUUUCCAGGAUUCGAAGUAGAAGUGAAGUCGUACCUAGCUUUCGACAUGAGUUUGUAGGCGUUUGGAUCAAAACCUUCUUCGGUCCUCUUGGUUGGGAGAAAGCUUGGUUCCACCCUAUUUGGUAGAGCUUUUAUGAAGCCUUGUGGUAGUCUUGCAACCUUAGCAUCGCUUAGCUGUGUCAGAGGAAAAACUGCAUUUGUCUUGAGCAACUUUACAUUAUCCCUGUGCCGCUGUGCAUCAGUUUUGCUUGCUCUAGUUUCGAACGGAGAUUGACCAUUCUUUCUUCUAGACAUCAUGAUGUAUCGGAAGACGGGUGUGUUUGGUCCAUUUAAGGGCAUCCUACUCCCUUUAGUUGUUGCAGGUUUAGCAAGCUUAUCAUCGUUCUUGCUUGAAGACGACAUAGCUUCUUCUUCUUGCUUUUUGUGCAUAGCUUGCCCCUCCUGCUUUUUAGGUGUUGCUUUGCUCAUGGAUUUGAUCUCUUUUGGAAAAGCUUCGGGCACCAUGUCUUCAUCUAUGUAGAACUUGGCGUCUGUGAAAUGUGAAUCGGCUUCGGUGAAUGGUUUGGUGUCGCCAUAGAUCACCUUCACUUCUUCUCGGUAGAAUUUUAAGCAUUGGUGAAGGGUAGACGGUACUAUUCCAUUCGCAUAGAUCCAAGGCCUUUCUAAGAGUAAGUCGUAGGAAAGUUUUACAUCAAUCACGUGGAAUAUUAUGCUUGACUUGAGUUCACCAAUAGUCAUCUCCACUCGGAUCAUGCCUAUCGUUCUUUGUCCUCCUUGAUUAAAACCUUGGAUUAGUAGACGGCUUAGGGACAGUUCAUCCGCCUUGAUGCCGAUUGUAGUCAUUGUUGACUUUGGCAUGAUGUUUAUGGCUGAUCCACCAUCCACAAGCAUGCGGUUGACUUUGUGCUCCCUUACAUACCCAGAGACGAAGAGAGGACGGUUGUGAGGCUUGGAUCCUAGUCGGUGAAGUGGAUUGCAUCCUCGGCGGCACAACAUGUGGCACAUUUAUAUGGCCGAAGCUUUAAGCCUUUAUUCUUGCUUUCUUACACUUCGUGGUCUUUGGGACUUGCCAAGACCGCUGUCAGUGCUUUUCGCAUCUUCUUUGGCAAUCGUAGCGCUUCCUUGAUGCUAAAGUAUGUUGGCAGACCUUCUUCGAGCGUGAGAGUUUUUUUCCCCUCAGUGGCGAUAACUUUGCCUUUUGAAGGCUCUUCCAUCUCUACUUCAACCAUGUGACAGGCGACGGUAGUGCACUGUUGGAAAAAGUCAUCAGGGAAGUCCUCGUUCAAGCAGACAGGAAUGCGUGGCUCUUGCUCCAUAGGUUCCCCAGCAUACGUUGGCUUAACAACUUUUUUGUUUCUUUUAGGCUUCCUACUGUUACGGUGACAGUGCUUUCUCCCUUGUUCCACCUUUGACUUUGUGGCUUGUGGUUUUCGUUUCCUUGUUUUUUUGUAGGUCACCAAUGUCCAUCAUUCUUUAUCAUCGGUAUGUGCAUCUUGGUCGCUUGCCCCCGGUGAUGGUUGUGCCAAAGGUGCUUGAGCAUUGGCGGGAAUGGUCAAGUGUCGCUUGGAGAGGUACGGGAUCGAAGGAUCCAAACGUAAUUGUAGUAGUAUGUGUUGCUGUUGUGUCUUCAAGGUCGAGCUCGAUUUGCCCUUGUUGUGCUAGCUUCAUGAUGAGUUCUUUGAGGACGAAGCACUUGCCAACAGGAUGGCUCACGAUACGAUGGUACUUACAGUACUUAGGAUUGUUUACGUGAUUCAUCUCUUCAGGGCGCUUGCAUUCCGGUAACUCGAUCACCUUCUUUUUCAGCAAGUCGUCUAACAUUGCAUCCAUGUCUGAGUCAGGAAAAAGGUACAUUUCCUACUUCAAUUCCCUUAAGGUGUUUUUAUAUCUGUCUUGGGUGCAAGGAGGCUCACUUCUCUUUAUCUCUUUUGCUUUGGUCUUGGAGGAGAUCUUGAUAGGCAUGGAUGAGGUCUUGAUGGGCGCGGAGAACGUCUUGAUGGGUGUAGUGUUGACGGUGAACGCUUCCUUGGGGGGCUUCUUCCCAGUUUUGUCUACAUUUGGGGAAAACACCUUAUCCUUCUUGAAGUUGGUGAUCAACUCCCUCUUCCUGUGGUUGGCGAUACUCAACUCCAUGUCGUGGGAACGAGUUGCUAGCUCUUCAAACGUUCUUGGUUUUAUGCCCUGAAUGAUGUAAUGUAGCCCCCAGUGCAUGCCUUGAACGCAAAUCUCAAUGGAUGAGGUUUCAGAAAGUCGAUCUAUUGAUGUAGUCGACGACAUGUCCAUUCUUCCACUGUUUCGUACUAGUCAACUCCAGCAUGUUUACGGUGCGGCACGUGCUGUAGAAGCGGUUGAGGAAUCCACUUUCUAGCUGAUCCCAACUGUUGACAGAUUCAGGCUCGAGGUCGGUGUAGCAGUCAAAGGCAUUACCUUUCAACGAGCGCACAAACUGCUUGACGAGGUAGUCUCCCUUUAUUCCAGUAUUGUUGCAAGUUUCAAUGAAAUGGGCGACAUGUUGCUUUGAGUUUCCUUUUCCAUCGAACUGCAUGAAUUUUGGUGGCUGAUAACCCUUCGGCAUCUUCAAAGCGUUAAUCUUCUUGGAGUAGGGCUUGGAGUACAACACGGAGUCAUGUGAGCUUCAUUCGUACUGUGCCUUGAUGGUGCUGACGAUCAUCUUCUGCAACUGCUGGAUAGAGAGAGAUCCCAUGAGUGCCGCUGAUUGGUUUGGCUUUAGCUUCUCUUUGACUUUCUUCGCAUGAGGCUCUUCAUCCUCGUCGUUUUCCUUCUUUACUGGAUUAUCCCUUUGCUCGACUUUCACGUCGGACUUCGCAUCUAGUUAGUUGACAAGUGCGGCGAUUUGCAAGUCUUUCUCCUCCACAGUCCGUGGGAGUUUUACGAUCGCUUCAUUCAUUUGAGCCAGCUACUCUUCGAUUGAAGUUGCUUCGGUAGUCAUGACUUGCAUGGCUAUGUUGUUGCUUGAGUCGGCAUCGAAAAGUAAGGGCUCCGAGUGCUUCCUCGGGCUUUCCUCUCUUGGCGCCCUUAGCGAGGCCAGAGUGAUCACGGGUUUGUGCCUCGGGUGCUCGUGUGCCUUCAGCGAAGCUGAUACAGGUGGAAGAGGUGGUAGAAAGAGCCAUUGCCUUGCUUUGGGUUAUGAUGCCUGAAGUGACACCACCUGCGGCGAUGAUGCUCAUGUUCCUUGCAUUGGUUGCGAGAACGGCUUGAGCCUUCCUUGAUGCCAUUUUUGCUUUUUACUGAUUACGAAGAUAGAGAUGAGAGGUAGAAAUAAUCCCACCAGGCGUGCCAAAUUUGUAAACACUAGAAUUCCUACGAUGAAUGAGACAAGAACACGUGUACAAAAUAAUAUUUGUAUCAAUGAUUUAAGGGUUAUAAUCUCUUAUACAAAUUUAGCCUCUGAUUCGAUCUUCGUAAUGUGUAAAUUUGUGGAUUGUGUUGUUGAUCCAAGGGCCAUCGGGGCUUGAUCUUGGAUGAACGAUUGAUGAAUGAUGAACACUUUCUUUAAGGGCCGUCGGGGCUUGAUCUUGAAUUGGUGGAAGUUCUCCAAGGGCCGUUGGGGCUUGAUCUUGAAAGAGGGGUUCACGAAGAACGAAUAAGGCUUUCUUGAUCCUUCGGGAUUUGCUUGAGAGUAGAGAAAAUGUAUGUCAAUUUCCUCCUCUUUCUCUUUUAAUGGAGAGGCCUAUUUAUAGGCUUUGAGAAUGAAUUACCACCAUCCUUUUGCUUUGGUGGAUGUUGUAGGUGGAUUGGGUGGAUUGUUGUAGGUGAAUUGGGUGGAGGUUGUAGGUGAAUUGGGCGGAUUGUUGUAGGUGAAUUGGACUGAUUGUUGUAGGUGGUCAACAUUUAUUUUACUGAAAUUUCAAUGUCUACAAAUGUAAUGCAAUGGCCACUACUUAUUUCACCGAAAUUUCAAUGUCUACAGCAUUAUGUUUAAGCAGUUCUUACAAACAUAAUUUAAUCAACAGGUACUUUGACAGAAGAUUUCUGAGAUGGAUCUCCAAGUGGCUUCUAGGAUAUCUCCUUUUAUUGAACAAUUACUAAAAAGUGAUAGAUUCCUUAUUAUUAUGCAUUAAUAUAUCUAUCACUUUCAUUAAAACAAUUUAGAAAGGAUACGCUCACAGAAACUUGAAUCAUUCUUCCACAACAGACGCCUUCCUUUCAUUAGGACAAGUCAAGUUUGCACCUGUAUUAACACCUUUAUUUAGUUUACUAGCCAAUUAAGGUUUCUACAUGUCAAACAUCUCUAAUGCCUUCGAAUUAGUGAAAACGGAGUGUGCUACGUGAUUCAGGACAUCGAAUAACCUUAACGUAGGUCUUAGUCUCCAUGCGCAGUUACACGUGCCGUACGUGCCACUCUAUAUUCGGUGGCACACCAUCGUAGUUAAUGUCGUCGUCGACGAACGCGCUACUGUACUCACCGGCGAUACGAAGUUGCAAUCACCGGCUCGCAAUUGCGCCAGAAUAGUGGCAAUCGAUGUCUGGCACUGCCAUGUGUCAUGUGUGUGCAAGUUAUAAUAGAAUAUACCUUCUUUGUUACAUAUUUCAUCAGAACUAAACACUCCGUAGCCUGUCUCUGUAUUUGUUAAGUCUAUUGUCGUUCGCCCUGCUCUGCCACCAAAAUCUUGGUCGAAUUCUGCAAAAUUCCCAAAGUAAGUUACAGAGCUUGGUUUAGCUCGAAUUUCUAAAUUUCAAUUUUAAAACAAAUAUUUUUAAAUAAAUACGAUAUUACUUAUACUAUGGGAUAGGGAGAGUGAGUUAAGCCUAAUAAUGGGUUAGCCGUUAUAAUUUGGUUCAAAUUCACCUUUGGCAGGAAUUGAACCGACGACAUUUCACUUACAAGUGAAGAGGAAUACUACUAAACCGUUGUAUUAAUUGCCAACAACAAUGAUACUAUGAAUCCAAGAACAACCCAUUGAAAACUACAAUCAACAACAAUUUAUCACACUUAACAAAGCAUACUAUAUGACUACAAAAGAUGAAGCAUUUUAGAUAAACAAUCUCAAAGAAGCACCCUUUUGCAAAACCCUAAUUUCUCAGAGAUUUUGGCAUGGCUCUAGAUUAAAGAACAAUAUGUUGAGUCACUCUACUCCAUGGGACAGAAACUAAGUGUGAAGAAUUCCAUUUUAACAAAGCAUACUAUAUGACUACAAAAGAUGAAGCAUUUUAGAUAAACAAUCUCAAAGAAGCACCCUUCUGCAAAACCCUAAUUUCUCAGAGAUUUUGGCAUGGCUCUAGAUUAAAGAACAAUACGUUGAGUCACUCUACUCCAUGGGACAAAAACUAAGUGUGAAGAAUUCCAUUUGGUCGAAAGAAGAAUGACCAGCCUGAACCACGACGACUUUGCAGACACAGAUGACAUCCCUGUCACAAGUCUCCAAGGUAUUUUGGAUGGGAGGAAAAACCCAGACUACGAGAAGGUGUGCUUUGUGAUAGUGAGUGCUUGUGAGAAGUGGGGGAGAUCUUCAAGUUAGUGGAUCAUGGGGUUGCUUUGGAGAUCAUAGAGAAUUUCAUAGGGAGUUUAAUGGGCUGUUUGAUCUUCCAAUGGAGCAGAAAGUGAAGGGUGUCAGAUCAGCUACUUGUUCCUAUUUUGUUAGCGUGAUAAGGCAUGAAAUGCUAGAUAUGCAUGGAUUUUUAUGGGGCAUGGUGUGAAUUAUACAAAUGUCCGCCUCAAUUAUACUAGCUUGUCAUGGUUGUGAAUUAUUUCCCUUCUUGAAUCUGCACCUUUACAUGUGUGUACGUUUGGUUUAGGGCUUGUAUACUAAUUUUGCUUUGAGACUAGAAUGAGUUUGCAUGUGACAUUUUUGAGCUCCAACACUAAUUAACUUAAAGGCAAAAGCUAGGUGUCCCUAUACCAAAUGGUUAUUGGAAAAAUAGUUUUAUUCUUUAGUAAUAGUUUAAGAUGAUUGCUAAAAUUGUCGUUUAAGCACAUGUGGGUGAUUUCUGACUGUAAAUGUUUGUAAAUUCUAUAAGAAAAUUGCAACAAGAGUUUUUUUGUGGCCAACAUCACCCAUUUAGGUAAGAUUUUCAUAUAUCAUAUAACUUGAACUCUUUGAUCAUGUAUAGUUUAAUGGUUUUAACAGUAGAUUAAUUAGAGAUAAUUAAUCAACAAACUUACCACCUCUUUCAAUACGAGUGGUACAAAUAGGUUUUUUGGUUAACUUCUACAAACUGUUGUCCAAUAAAGUGAAGGUUAAAUGUUUUUGUACCAAUUGGUUAUUGGAAGCAUAGUUUUAUUCAUUGCUUACGGUUUAAGAUGAUUGCUAAAAGGGUGGUGCAACUCCCAUGUCAAAUUUUUUUCCUUUCACACACACCCUAUUAAUUUUUGUAAUUUGACCAUCUUCAAUUCAUUUAAUCGGACGGCUAAAAAUUGAGAUAGUGUGUGAAAAGUAAAAAAAAAAGUGUGCGGAUAACAUCAUUUUUGCUAAAAUUCUCGCUCAAACACAUGUGAGCAAUUUUUUAUUGUAAAUGCAUGUGAAUUCAAUAAAAUUUUAUAUGCAUCAAUGAUGUGAAAUCAAUCACGCACCCACACAGGACUGACCUUGUUAGCAUUUUUCUUCAUAUAGUUUAACGCUUAUCAAUAUUUGGAAUAUGUGUAUCAGCAAUGCAAUGAUUGGACAGAAAACUUUGGAGAUGUUAGCUCAUGGACUGGGCCUUCCAAGACAAAUUUUUCACAGGGAACUUUGAAGAAAAAGAGGGUACCAUGAUCAGGGUCAAUAGAUAUCCUCCUUGUCCACUCCCUGAAAAAUGUCUCGGGCUUGGGAGCCAUUCAGACCCACAUACCUUUUAACUAUAUUGUUACAAGAUGAUGUUGGCGGCCUUCAAGUUCUGAUGAGUGACAAGAAAUGGGUUGGUAUCCGUCCUGUUCAAAGUUCUUUCCUCAACAUUGGUGACACCCUUGAAGUAAUCUCUCUCUCUCUCUCUCUCUCUCUCUCUCUCUCUCUCUCUCUCUCUCACAUAAGCAAUUGUAUGCAUAUAUACAUUAAGGUGUAUAUAUGAAGUAAUGUUCUCUUACUAGAAAAUGCUAAUGUUGUGAGACUGUGAACUUGAAUCACAUGUUUUUUCAAAAGUUUGGUUUUUGUACAUAGCUGUAUAUGUUCUUGCAAGCUUGGACCAAUUCUGCCCUCAUUGACUGCCCUCUUAAGCUCAUGGAUUCAAAAAUCAACCCUAGAAAGUAUGAGCCCUUCACUUGGGGGUGAUUUCAAAAAGCAACUUUUGGUUCAAAACAGGGUUGUUGGAAACAGCUGCCUUAGAAUAGAAUGAUACAUCAUAUUCAAGUGAAGAGAAUGGUCUGAAUCUUAGAAGGACAAAAUGUUUAGACUUAUUAAUAUUAUAUUAUAGAUGUCUUAUAAAUGUUUGGUCUAUUCAUAUUAGCGGUCUUACUUCUAUUAAAAAUAGAGUUUACACUAUGAUCUACGAAUAUGAUGCAAUUUACUGUACAAGUCCUUGCUUGCAAGGAAAGAGGGAAAAAAAAAAACACAAACUAUGAAGAUUCCUUCCACAUACAUAUCAAAUUUUUUUUUCACGUAAUUAAUAAUUUCAAAAAUACGAAAGGCCCUUUUUCCUAUUUGAAGUUUAUCAACGGAAUGCCAAAGAACAGAAAUUUUCCAAUUUCCCCAUCAUUGACCAAUAUAUCAGACCAAAUGGAAGCCUGUUUAAUUUUUGUCAAACGAUAGUGUUUAGUAAGUUAAAUUGUUAGUUAUUAGGAAGGGAGAGGAUCAGUAGUGAACGAACAUGCACCAGGGUACAUAAACAUAAUUAUUAAGAAGAAAGUAUGUUUAAUUAGCUAACAACAAUUGAACAAUACUAUAUGUAUAACCUACCAAUUGUGUGACUAAACAGGACAUAUUAUAUAAAAUAUAUAUAACGUCUUCAUAUAUCAUUCUACUAGCUGUACGGAACACACACACAUAUAUACAGUUUUGUGGAAUCAUAAUCCACACAAUGCAAAAUUGUCAACUCAUGGCCCAAACAACUAAACACGAAAUCAAAUGAAGACUAAUAAGGGUUGUUAGGAUUUGAUCGGACCCUCUCUCUCGACCGUGUGGCUUCUACUUUCAUUUCAAAUUACUUUUAAUUGGUUUACAACUACUUUAGUCGGCAGAGUGGAUAAUAGAACAAUACAACAUAAACUAAACUUGCUCACAUAUUAAAUUACAUGCGGAUAUGCAUUUUGGUGCAGUUUUGUGGAAUCAUAAUCCACACAAUGCAAAAUUGUCAACUCAUGGCCCAAACAACUAAACACGAAAUCAAAUGAAGACUAAUAAGGGUUGUUAAGAUUUGAUCGGACCCUCUCUCUCGACCGUGUGGCUUCUACUUUCAUUUCAAGUUACUUUUAGUUGGUUUACAACUACUAUAGUCGGCAGAGUGGAUAAUAGAACAAUACAACAUAAACUAAACUUGCUCACAUAUUAAAUUACAUGCGGAUAUGCAUUUUGGUGCAGAUUUAAUUUUUAUUAAUUUUCGUUAACAACUAACUAUUUAGAUCACUAUUUAUCAUAAUACUAUUGUUUUAUUAUAAAAAAAAAUCAAAUUACAUGAUGAUGAACUUUAGCUCCAUGUUCAUGACCUAAAUUAUCGGUUCGAUAACCGUGGCAAUUAUAAGAAACACAUUUAUUAUGUAGACCAUACAUUUUCUCCAGCCAAGCCUCAUGACAAUGUUGGGUGCAUUUGGAUAACCAGCGGCUUACUCGGGAUUAUUCCAGAUGUGGCUUACAAUACUUUUCUUUUCAGUUGAAAUUGGUCAUAAGAGAGGUUUUUCUCUUUGAAUGAUUUUUUUUUUCUUGCAAAAGAAAAUAUACAGAGACUUUUCACCUCAUGGAUCGAUUUUCAUUUUUCAACUUUUUUUAGGCUGGAAUAAUUUAUAUUCUCAAGUCACCAGUGAGAAAAUGAUUUUCCAAUUCAAUGCCUCCUUUUCCAUUUUAUGAAAUAUGGUCAAAAGAGCUUAAUUAUAUCCUUACAUUUGGUUCACUUACCGCGUAGAAUUUUUUUGAUCACUUCUACAUUUGUCGGUUGCAAAAUCACUUCUCUAUUUGAACUGCAAAUUGUGGUUGAAAUGAAAGUUGUAUUUAAAAAUUAAAAAAACAUUCAAAUUGUCUUGCUUUAAAACUUUACGUGCCUUGACUUAGUAUCUCCAUCAGCAUGCAUGCGAAACUUCUCCUCCAAGAAAAUGUCUGCAUACCAACUACACAUUGAAGAAAGCGUAGGCAUGAGAUUGUACGGAUAUUCAGAGCGUGUGUUUCCGCCUGCAAGGUUUUGGUCAAUAGUUAAGGAUGAUUCUUGGAAUAUAAGCAACUACGUACUUAAAAUCUGACCUGGCAGCUGCAUUGGUCCUAAAAUAUUUGGUCUUCGCCCAACAUGACAAGUAAAAGCAAGAGGAAAAACGCUACUUUGUUUGUCAACACCAACAUGGCAGCAAAAUAAUGCUGAUGUUGCAGGAACACGUAUACUGUACAUAUAAGCUAGUUUCCCCAGUCUGAUGGCAACCUUUCUCAGUCGCAGAAGGAGGCACAUCCUUUUCAAAGUCUUAGGUCGUUUUUCUUAUAGGCCAAGUUCUUACUAUUCCACCUAGCAUUAAGUACGUAAAAAGCCCUAACUUUUUAGUAUCAUUCUAAAUCAAUCUCAAUCUUUUUAAAUACUCAAAAUAAGUACUCAGCAUAUUGAAAAUGUCACAUCCGAUAAACAUAAAUUAAUUUUCAGUUAAAUUAACUAGGCUUACUUUGUUUGCAAAAUCAGUAAAAAGUCACGGAAGCAUGGCCUCUACCACUAACGUCACCACCACCAGGCCUCCAUCAGGCCAUCACUUCCAAACCCAAUGUACAACCACCAACUUCACCCUACAACUUAAAUUGCCAACACCGAGAAGAAGGUCAUAGAGAUUGUUUAAAUGGAAUGGACUGUCAUAAUGUGGCCACUUGCCACCACCAUCUUGACCGUCCACAAAGAAGAACUACAAGCUUUACGACUCGAGAAUUGGUGAAUGAGGAAACUUCAUGAACAGAAUCAGGCUCCUUAAAACCUUAUUUGAAUUUUUAACCCCCUUGUUUGUUAGAACUUUGAAAAUUGCCCUCCUGAUGUAAAGCAAGUUGGGUCCAUUUUCGAUUCAUUUUAGUACUCUUUUGAUCAUUUGGUUCCAUAUUAUAUAAUCUAUAUGUGAAAGAUUUCGAUAACCAACAGUAAUAUUGUAUUAAGGGUACAAAUGUAAUACAGUUAGUAAUAUAGUUAGGUAGUUAGUAUUUGGUUAAAGUAGUUAGGAUUUCUUUAUAAAUAGUAUGUGUAACCUUCAUUUCAGUAAGUCAAUACAAAACCUAUUUCUCUCUAAACUCUUUCUCUAAAAUCUCUCUUGCUUCUCUCUGUCCUCUUCCUCUGUACCAAUCUUUUAUCUUUGCAAUGUAGUUGAUAUGGUAUCAGAGCCACCAAGGCUCACGCCAUGGAUCUUGGUGGUCGAUUCUUCUUCUAUCUUUCUUCAUUACUUUCUUUUGUUUUCGUGUAUUUGAUCGUUUAUGCUUCCGUAUUCAUAGUUUUUUUUUUUUUUUUACUUUUGGGUCUCUGGAUUUUUCCUCUCCUCUUCCUUCACCUUCAGAAUACCUUCUUCAUCUCGACGGCGACGACGAGAAGCACAGCCGCCCGAUCAUCAGCAGUGAGCAACUCGAUCCUGGCACCGGCCUCACACUGCUCAACGAUCUUGGAGUGUUCCUCAGAAUUUAGGUCUCCAACACCGAGAAACCGCUCGUCUUCUACGAUAAUCUUGCUAAGAAAGUCGACAAGUAAGUACCUUAAGUCAUGUUCACAAGGUGUUCGAAGAAAAGUCUGAGAGAAAAAGUGUGGUACUCGAAUCUGUUUCUUGACGGACCGAUUUCGAUUCACGGUGUUCUUGGCCCGUAGCUUUGGAUCUGAGCGAUGUUAAUCAGGGUUGGGCUACAAAGGUGUUCGACGGAUUGUUCGUGAGUUGCGUUCAAAGAUUUGAUUUGUAUCAGGUGAUAUUGUUCAUAUAUCUCAUACGCUUAGGUUGUGCACAAUAUAUUCCGAUAAGGUUUUUCUGGAUCUGGUAUUCCUGAUUUGAGGUGAUAUAUGCUACAUUCUUGGAUCUGCAGAUUUUGGAUUAUAGUUUCUUCUUGGUGUUGUUUGCAUAUCAGCUCUCUGUGCUUCUUUGGUGUUAUUUAAUCCAUGUUCUGUUCUCUGUUCCACUACUUUGAUGAUCUGGUGGAGCUGCUAAUUCCCUGCAAAAGUGUAUGUUUCUUUGAUUUUGUGAAGUAGUCGAUUGAUUUCUUUGGGCACAAAGCCAUUACUGUUUGUUUGCGGCACGAAGCCAUGUUUUCUGUAUAGAUUAGUUGAUUGAAGUUUGCGGCACGAAGCCAUGUUUUUUGUAUAGAUUAGUUGAUUGAAGUUUGUGGGCACGAAGCCAUGUUUUUUGUAAAGUUUAGUUGAUUAGAGUUGUAGCUGUUGAAAGGCUUGGUUUGCAGGGGGUUGUUCUUUGCUAGCUUAAAACGAAUCUGAGGUGCGAGAACAAGAGAACCGGAGAACCAGAGAGCAAAGAAAAGUAGUUCUCAUGUGCACUUUGAUGAAAGCAAUAAGACGAUCAGUGGAACUAAUCAAGAUCAGGAGUGCAAGAGCGGCAUUGACCUUAAUGCAAUGCCAGUGGUAUUCAUUUGUUCUCCAUUGCUGAAAGCUUGAAGCUUGCAGGAUUGUAGAGUUUGCUGUGUUGUGUUUGUUAAAAGUAAAGAGUUUGUUGAUCUAGAAGAACAAGAAGUUGUGUAUGACGGAAAACUACGUGAAGAUCAGAGACUUAUUGAUGACAUAUGUAAACAUAAUGAUGCUGUCUUACAUCUGUUGUUUUGGAAGUCUGCAAAAGUUAGGGCCAGACCAGUUAAGAAAAACUUUGAACUGUCAGUUGUGGCACCAUAGUGGGAGACUGCAGUUGAGAAGAAACUGAACCAUUUAUCCAUAUUUCGGUGUUUGCUAUUUGCGAAUCUACUGCAAUCUCACACUGGGAUACCCCAGUUGAGAUUGAGGGGGAGUAUUAAGGGUACAAAUGUAAUACAGUUAGUAAUAUAAUUAGGUAGUUAGUAUUUGGUUAAAGUAGUUAGGAUUUCUUUAUAAAUAGUAUGUGUAACCUUCAUUUCAGUAAGUCAAUACAAAACCUAUUUCUCUCUAAACUCUUUCUCUAAAAUCUCUCUUGCUUCUCUCUGUCCUCUUCCUCUGUACCAAUCUUUUAUCUUUGCAAUGUAGUUGAUAUAUUGACCAUGAAAAACCAGGUGGCCGGUGGAUUUUGAAUAUAAAGUUUGGAUUGGGGUUUGUGGUGGUUGUUAACCUUGGAGGUGGCGAGGUUUUGAUUUUCCCAAUCUUCAUUUUUUGUAUUCAUUUUUCAAAUUAUUAAUUUUAGUAUAUUUUAGUGUCCAAGUAAGCGAAAUAGUGAGACCCCUUUUCAUAUGUACAUUUGACUAAAAAACUAAUUGGGGUUUAACGGUUGUGACAUUUUCAAUAGGUUGGGUGCUUGUUUAAAACUUUUAAAAAGCUUGAUACCCAUUUGGAAUGACACUAAAAGGUUGGGUGGUUUAAGGUACUUAAUCCUUCCACUUAUAAAACUUUUUUUCCUAAUCAAUCCUACAAUUACGGAGACUUUCUAUUUCCACCUAACAUUCUACUCAGCAGACUAGGGUGCGUUUGUUGCACCGACUUAUCUUAAAUUGGACUAGUUUCAGGAACUAAGCUGGACUGGUUAAAAUAGACUAAGGUGGACCGACUUAGGGCUCGUUUAGAAGUGUUUUUAAAAUUGCUAAAAGAGUUUUUGAUGAAAAUAUUUUUGGAACCAAUCUUUAGUAAAAAUGCAGGUGAAUCUUGGAAAAACACUUGAAGCUUGUUAUAAGAAGCACAUAAUUUGUUCUUACAAGAAGCACUUUAAGUGCUUUUAUAGAACCCAAAAUCAUUUUCGCCAAAUGGGCUUUUAGUCAUUUUAAAAUCACUUCCAGAUGAGCUCUUAGUGAAGCGUUUGGUGCAUUGUUAGACUAAGUUACAAAAUAAUGAAAAUAGUAUGUCCUAAGUUUCGGAUUCUCUAAGAAUUCCCCAGCUUCUUCCCAUUUACCUUCAUUCAUGAAACUGUUGUUGUCGACUAUUAUAAACUUUUUUUUUCCUUUCUUUUGAUAAACUUUGGGCAAAUUUGAUAACAAUUUCGGUUUUUGGUUUUCUUUUCUAAUUAGUUAAAGUGAAGGAAAUGUAUGGGAGGAACGACAGGGGACUACAAGGAAGAAGGAAGUUUGUUUAUACCAUAUUGAGGGCAUCCGUAUUUAGAUAUCGUACAAAUACUUGAGGGACUUAAAUGUAAUUAUGUAAUAAAGGAAGGGGAAAAUAUGUAAUAAGUGAGGAGUCCUUAUUCUAUAAAAGGACCCAUCACCCUCACAAUUAGAGGGAGGCCAUUUCUGAGGCCAAUUCCCAAGGCUUUUCACCCCCUUUCAAAGCUUUCACUCUCAGAGCUCUCUCUCUCCCUCAGAUAAAUACAUAAUCAGUGUGGACGUAGCCCAAACCUUGGGGUGAACCACGAUACAUCUUGUGUUAUUUACAUUACUUGCAGAUUCACAGUCGAAUUUACAUUGUUCCAAGACCUCCGGUUUUGUGCAUCAACAUUUGGCGCCGUCUAUGGGAAUCGAUACGAAAAGUUAUGUCGGUUCUCUUUCAUUUUUUUCACCUCCACCGUGAAUCUGCAAAAAUCCACCCAAAGCUUUCCCAGAAAACCCACGGAGCCACAUUUUCAUCCUCAUUCUCUCUCUGCAGCUUCACUUUGCUUCGUCUUAGCCCACCAAAAAUCUCUCUAUUUCUCUCAGAGUACUUAGCAGUUUACUCUUCGUCUUCAUUGCUCUCAACUCAAACCACUGACUGAAACCCAUAUUUUGAAACGCUUUUCAGCAUCCAAACAAGCCACAAAAGCAAGAAAGAGAAUGGUUGGUAAUGAGCUUUAAGCCAAAGAACUUCAUUCCAGGAGUUGUCAUUGGCUUCAUCCUUGGGUUGUUACUGGAUUUAUCAUAGCCUAGUAAGGGUCGAUCAAAGAAAAACAUUGCUUCGAUAGGCCAGCUCCCACUGGCUUCAUCCUUCUCGGAAUCGUGUCGGUGCACAAAUUGGGAAAAUAAAGAUGGAAUCUUCCCACGGCUAGCGAACCAGUUGUGCCUUCCACACAAGCAAGAAGCAACUUCUCUCUCUCUCUCUCCGUCUCUGUCCCAUCAGAGAAGGGAACUCCAUCUCUCUCGACUCUCCGCUGAACUGACGUACAACUCCGAAUCUCUCUACUAUUUUUUAUUUUCCGAGCUCCCCUUCACACCCAAGAGGAAGAUCCACCCCCCCCCGCCGCUUGAUAUACCCAAUCAAUUUCACUGGGUAUAGAAUCGGCGAAUUGGAAAAAAGACGACACCUUUCAGGUGCUGGAGAGAUGGAAGGUCCCAAACCCAGUAUGGAGGCGCUGGAGAGAUGAGUGCUGGUGAAGCUGCGGCGGCGGAGCAAGGUGACGGUGGUGGAUUCAGUUGCCAACCAAAACGCUGUGAACAGUCUUAUCAAUAACAGCUGCGAAUAAGCCAACCAUGGCUUCACUAAGGCAGCGGGACUCCAAUCCUCCUCACUCUCACUGUCAUCUCCU